rnacentral:lncRNA from 1 species
AUUAAAUGUUUCGACGUUAUCAUCGGUAUGGAUUGGUUGAGUCUUCUUCGUGCCGACAUUAUGUGCUUCGAAAAAGCAGUUCGUCUUAACCUUCCUAACAACGAAACUUUAAUUAUCUACGGCGACAAACCUAGUACGAGCCUUCGCAUCAUUUCGUGCAUUCAAGCCCAUAAGUGCUUGCGAAAGGAAUAUCAUGCAUUCCUCGCACACGUCUUUGAUAUCAGUCAAGAACUGAAAGACAUCCAGAACAUCCCAGAAGUACGCGACUUUCCCGACAUCUUCCCAGAAGAACUUCUCGGUUUACCACUGCAACGCCAAGUCGAGUGCAAAAUAGACUUAGUGCCAGGAGCUACCCCAGUAGCCAAAUCUCCUUAUCGUCUGGCACCGGCCGAGAUGUAGGAACUUUCCAGUCAACUUAACGAACUUCUCAAGAAGGGAUUCAUUCGACCAAGCUUCUCACCAUGGGGAGCACCGGUCUUGUUCAUCAAGAAGAAGGAUGGAUCGUUUCGCAUGUGCAUCGACUAUAGAGAACUCAACAAACUUACCAUUAAAAAUCGUUAUCCCUUGCCCCGCAUUGACGAUUUAUUUGAUCAACUUCAAGGAGCCAACUACUUCUCGAAGAUAGAUCUGCGAUCCGGAUAUCACCAACUACGAGUGUUAGAGGAGGAUGUUCCCAAGACAGCCUUCCGAACUCGUUAUGGGCACUACGAGUUUGUAGUGAUGCCAUUCGGAUUAACUAACGCGCCCGCAGUAUUCAUGGAUCUGAUGAAUAGGGUGUGUCGUCCUUACUUGGAUCAGUUCGUCAUCAUCUUCAUUGAUGACAUACUGGUCUACUCUCGAAGUAAGGAGGAACAUAGCCAACAUCUCCGUAAAAUCUUAGAAACAUUGCGAUCGGAGAAGCUCUAUGUGAAGUUCUCCAAGUGCGAAUUUUGGAUUCGGUAAGUCGAAUUUUUGGGACAUGUUGUUAGCGAAGAAGGAAUACACGUGGACCCUUCCAAAAUUAAGGCCAUCGAGAACUGGACAGCACUGAAGACACCUACAAAAAUUCGUCAAUUUCUAGGUCUGGCUGGCUACUAUCGCAGGUUCAUUCACAACUUCUCCCGCAUAGCAAAACCUCUUACAACACUGACACAGAAGGACGUAGCCUUUGACUGGGAAGAGAAACAAGAAAGAGCGUUCCAAAUGCUCAAGAGAGCCUUGUGCACCGCACCAAUAUUGUCCCUCCCCGAAGGGAUAGAAGACUUCGUGGUCUAUUGCGACGCAUCAAAUCAAGGANGCACUGAAGACACCUACAAAAAUUCGUCAAUUACUAGGUCUGGCUGGCUACUAUCGCAGGUUCAUUCACAACUUCUCCCGCAUAGCAAAACCUCUUACAACACUGACACAGAAGGACGUAGCCUUUGACUGGGAAGAGAAACAAGAAAGAGCGUUCCAAAUGCUCAAGAGAGCCUUGUGCACCGCACCAAUAUUGUCCCUCCCCGAAGGGAUAGAAGACUUCGUGGUCUAUUGCGACGCAUCAAAUCAAGGACUCGGAUGUGUUCUGAUGCAGCGAGGUAAAGUCAUAGCCUAUGCCUCGAGACAGCUGAAGACACAUGAGGUUAACUACACCACCCACGAUCUUGAGCUAGGAGCAGUUGUGUUUGCUCUGAAGAUCUGGCGACAUUACCUGUACGGUACAAAAAGCACGAUCUUUACAGACCAUAAGAGUCUACAACACAUUUUCGACCAGAAAGAGCUCAACAUGAGACAACGACGGUGGGUCGAGCUACUUAGUGAUUACGAAUGCGAAAUUCGUUAUCAUCCGGGUAAAGCCAAUGUAGUAGCCGACGCCCUAAGUCGGAAAGAAUAUUCUGGUCGUAGGGUCAAAUCUUUGACUCUAACUAUCCAUUCACACUUGUCCACGCAAAUAAAGGAGGCUCAGCUCGAUGCUUUGAAACCUGAAAACAUGGCUAGUUAAUCCCUUAGAGGGAUGGAUAAGAACUUGGAAGUCAAGGGUGGCAAAGCCUUGUACCUCAUGGAUCGGAUCUAGAUACUGAAACACGGUGGCUUCAGAGACUUGGUCAUGACGGAAGCUCACAACAAUUGUUAUUCCGUCCACCCGGGUUCUAGAUAAGAUGUAUCUGGAUCUUAAAAAGUUUUACUGGUGGCCUAACAUGAAAGCAGAUAUUGCUACCUUCGUAAGUAAGUGCCUUACUUGCGUGAAGGUGAAGGUCCAAUACCAGAAACCCUCCGGUCUUCUACAACAACCGGAGAUACCAGAAUGGAAGUGGGAGCGGAUCACUAUGGACUUCAUAACCAAGUUGCCCAAGACGACGGGUGGACUUGAUUCCAUAUGGGUCAUCGUCGAUAGACUGACCAAGUCUGCACACUUCCUACCGAUCAAAGAAACAGACAAGAUGGAGAAACUUACCAGAACUUACAUUAGGGAGAUUGUAAGGCUGCACGGUGUUCCUUUAUCUAUCAUCUCAGACCGAGAUAGUAGAUUCACUUCGAGGUUCUGGCAGUCAUUACAAAGUUCCCUAGGAACUAGGCUGGACAUGAGUACAGCCUACCAUCCACAGACGGACGGGCAAAGUGAGAGAACUAUCCAAACCUUAGAAGAUAUGUUGCGUGCCUGUGUGAUUGACUUUGGAAAAGCUUGGGAUACCCAUUUACCCCUUGUCGAAUUUUCCUACAACAACAGUUAUCACACGAGCAUAAAGGCAGCUCCAUUCGAGGCCCUCUAUGGCCGAAAGUGCAGAUCCCCUCUGUGCUGGGCUGAAGUGGGUGAUACCCAGUUAGCUAAGGGACGAGUUCCCGAAAGCACUCUCAAGGGUCCGGAGAUCAUUCGGGAAACCACAGAGAAGAUCGUUCAAAUUCGUGAACGAUUGAAAGCCUCUAGAGACCGACAGAAAAGCUACGCUGACUAAAGAAGGAAACCGUUGGAAUUCCAGGUGGGCGACCGAUUACUACUGAAGGUCUCACCCUGGAAGGGCUUGAUACGCUUUAGAAAGCGUAGGAAUCUCAAUCCAAGAUACAUAGGGCCUUUCGAGAUUCUCGCGUGAAUCGACCCUGUAGCUUACAAACUCAAUCUACCGCACGAACUCAGUAACGUACAUCCUGCCUUCCACGUCUCAAACUUGAAAAAGUGUCUGUCCGACGAGACUCUUGUUAUUCCACUCGACGAGAUCGAGAUCAACGAGAGCCUCAACUUCGUGGAGGAACCAGUAGAGAUCAUGGACCGAGAGGUCAAGCAAACCAAGCAGAGUCGUAUCCCGAUAGUGAAGGUGCGCUGGAAUGCAACGUGUGGACCGGAAUUCACUUGGGAACGAGAGGACCAGAUGAAACUUAAAUACCCUCACCUUUUCGCUUAGUUAUUUGUAACUUCUAAAUUGCUUAAAUUCUAAUUUUGGGAUGAAAUUCCUUCUAACGGGGGAUGAUGUGACAACCCAAAAUUUCCAUUUUGUACAAACAAUAUCACUUCAAUAGAAGUUAUAGCAGUCACAGUUAAUUUUCAGACUUUUUCGUGUAAGUUUUAGUAAUUCAGGGUUUAGACUUUAGGAGAUAUCAGGAGAGUGGAUGCACUAGGGUUUAGUGCAACUCUAUUAUUCCAUCACUCUAUUAUAUUAGAGAUCAUUUCAGGAUUAAAAAUACUUUCUGCCAAAAAUAUCUCAGGACUAUAUAUAGAAUUCUGAACCAAAUUCAUUCAUUAGUCGCAUUUCCAACUAGAGAAAAGCCAUUUUCUCUCUCACGGAUCUUCGGGUUUUUAUACCAAAACGUGAGUAACUCUUUCUAGUAGUGUUAGAAAGCUUAAUAUGUGUUUAUAACAUGAUUUAGAAGGCUAAAUCACUAGAUUUAGGAGUUUACUCCCCAAGGUGUUCUUGGGCNUGUAACAACCCGUUAUUUCCGGGCAUUAUAUAUCGAGUCUUGUAACCUCUUUGGAAUGUAAUAGGAAUAUCAUCGAUAAAUGAAUUAUUCAAAAGCUCUGAUUGGAGUACACUAUGUAGUAGAUAUCGUCUUAAGGUUUCCAAAUAUAUAAAGAACACUAAAAUCCGAGUUAUGACGAAGUAGUUAUGACCAUUCUAAGAUUUCCGACAAAACCGACAACACCGAUUAAACGGAAAACGCAAAGUUUCAAUAUGAUAGCAUUUAGCCUUAGGUAUCUAAAUGAAAGUUAUAGAUAACAUUAAACCGUGAGCGUACACAAAAAGAACGUCCAAAUCUGACUUCGUAUGAGGAAGUUAUGAUUUUUCCAAGAUNNNNNNNNNNNNNNNNNNNNNNNNNNNNNNNNNNNNNNNNNNNNNNNNNNNNNNNNNNNNNNNNNNNNNNNNNNNNNNNNNNNNNNNNNNNNNNNNNNNNNNNNNNNNNNNNNNNNNNNNNNNNNNNNNNNNNNNNNNNNNNNNNNNNNNNNNNNNNNNNNNNNNNNNNNNNNNNNNNNNNNNNNNNNNNNNNNNNNNNNNNNNNNNNNNNNNNNNNNNNNNNNNNNNNNNNNNNNNNNNNNNNNNNNNNNNNNNNNNNNNNNNNNNNNNNNNNNNNNNNNNNNNNNNNNNNNNNNNNNNNNNNNNNNNNNNNNNNNNNNNNNNNNNNNNNNNNNNNNNNNNNNNNNNNNNNNNNNNNNNNNNNNNNNNNNNNNNNNNNNNNNNNNNNNNNNNNNNNNNNNNNNNNNNNNNNNNNNNNNNNNNNNNNNNNNNNNNNNNNNNNNNNNNNNNNNNNNNNNNNNNNNNNNNNNNNNNNNNNNNNNNNNNNNNNNNNNNNNNNNNNNNNNNNNNNNNNNNNNNNNNNNNNNNNNNNNNNNNNNNNNNNNNNNNNNNNNNNNNNNNNNNNNNNNNNNNNNNNNNNNNNNNNNNNNNNNNNNNNNNNNNNNNNNNNNNNNNNNNNNNNNNNNNNNNNNNNNNNNNNNNNNNNNNNNNNNNNNNNNNNNNNNNNNNNNNNNNNNNNNNNNNNNNNNNNNNNNNNNNNNNNNNNNNNNNNNNNNNNNNNNNNNNNNNNNNNNNNNNNNNNNNNNNNNNNNNNNNNNNNNNNNNNNNNNNNNNNNNNNNNNNNNNNNNNNNNNNNNNNNNNNNNNNNNNNNNNNNNNNNNNNNNNNNNNNNNNNNNNNNNNNNNNNNNNNNNNNNNNNNNNNNNNNNNNNNNNNNNNNNNNNNNNNNNNNNNNNNNNNNNNNNNNNNNNNNNNNNNNNNNNNNNNNNNNNNNNNNNNNNNNNNNNNNNNNNNNNNNNNNNNNNNNNNNNNNNNNNNNNNNNNNNNNNNNNNNNNNNNNNNNNNNNNNNNNNNNNNNNNNNNNNNNNNNNNNNNNNNNNNNNNNNNNNNNNNNNNNNNNNNNNNNNNNNNNNNNNNNNNNNNNNNNNNNNNNNNNNNNNNNNNNNNNNNNNNNNNNNNNNNNNNNNNNNNNNNNNNNNNNNNNNNNNNNNNNNNNNNNNNNNNNNNNNNNNNNNNNNNNNNNNNNNNNNNNNNNNNNNNNNNNNNNNNNNNNNNNNNNNNNNNNNNNNNNNNNNNNNNNNNNNNNNNNNNNNNNNNNNNNNNNNNNNNNNNNNNNNNNNNNNNNNNNNNNNNNNNNNNNNNNNNNNNNNNNNNNNNNNNNNNNNNNNNNNNNNNNNNNNNNNNNNNNNNNNNNNNNNNNNNNNNNNNNNNNNNNNNNNNNNNNNNNNNNNNNNNNNNNNNNNNNNNNNNNNNNNNNNNNNNNNNNNNNNNNNNNNNNNNNNNNNNNNNNNNNNNNNNNNNNNNNNNNNNNNNNNNNNNNNNNNNNNNNNNNNNNNNNNNNNNNNNNNNNNNNNNNNNNNNNNNNNNNNNNNNNNNNNNNNNNNNNNNNNNNNNNNNNNNNNNNNNNNNNNNNNNNNNNNNNNNNNNNNNNNNNNNNNNNNNNNNNNNNNNNNNNNNNNNNNNNNNNNNNNNNNNNNNNNNNNNNNNNNNNNNNNNNNNNNNNNNNNNNNNNNNNNNNNNNNNNNNNNNNNNNNNNNNNNNNNNNNNNNNNNNNNNNNNNNNNNNNNNNNNNNNNNNNNNNNNNNNNNNNNNNNNNNNNNNNNNNNNNNNNNNNNNNNNNNNNNNNNNNNNNNNNNNNNNNNNNNNNNNNNNNNNNNNNNNNNNNNNNNNNNNNNNNNNNNNNNNNNNNNNNNNNNNNNNNNNNNNNNNNNNNNNNNNNNNNNNNNNNNNNNNNNNNNNNNNNNNNNNNNNNNNNNNNNNNNNNNNNNNNNNNNNNNNNNNNNNNNNNNNNNNNNNNNNNNNNNNNNNNNNNNNNNNNNNNNNNNNNNNNNNNNNNNNNNNNNNNNNNNNNNNNNNNNNNNNNNNNNNNNNNNNNNNNNNNNNNNNNNNNNNNNNNNNNNNNNNNNNNNNNNNNNNNNNNNNNNNNNNNNNNNNNNNNNNNNNNNNNNNNNNNNNNNNNNNNNNNNNNNNNNNNNNNNNNNNNNNNNNNNNNNNNNNNNNNNNNNNNNNNNNNNNNNNNNNNNNNNNNNNNNNNNNNNNNNNNNNNNNNNNNNNNNNNNNNNNNNNNNNNNNNNNNNNNNNNNNNNNNNNNNNNNNNNNNNNNNNNNNNNNNNNNNNNNNNNNNNNNNNNNNNNNNNNNNNNNNNNNNNNNNNNNNNNNNNNNNNNNNNNNNNNNNNNNNNNNNNNNNNNNNNNNNNNNNNNNNNNNNNNNNNNNNNNNNNNNNNNNNNNNNNNNNNNNNNUGUGUGUGUGUGUGUUAGGGACAAGAAAAAAACCAAGAAACACCAAAAUAUGGGUGUUCACGGCCCAAGAUGAUCUUGGACCGUGAACUCCAAAAUCAUGGACAAAAGGUUGCUUUUAAGGCACCUAAGGCCUUAGACAUUUACUUGGAAUUGUUUCCACUUAAAUCAAGGACUAAAACACAUCAAAAACCCAUCUUUUUAGGAGAUUACGGACCUAAUAAGCUCUUGGGCCGUAAACAUGAAAGAAGGGCGCCAAAGUGUGCCUAAUGCCUUUAUAUGCUUUAGGUAAAAGUCUAGAACCUAUCCUACAUAUGCAAGAGACAUGAAAGCAUCAAAAACACCUUUCCUUAAGAGUUUACGACUGCAAACUCUAAAGGAAAUGGCCUUAGGGCCGUAAACUUCUCAAAGGAGUGUUUCUAUGCCUUAAAGCCUUCCAAGAAUUAAACCACCAAGUUGGAAUAAUUCUAGGGAUCAUUUAGAACUUCAAAACACAAAAUACCACCAAGCUUGGGAGUUUACGGCCGUAAACUCAAGAGUUUACAACCGAAACUCCAUGAGUGAGGAUAUAUGGAGAGUAAACUCAUGUAUAGGGUCCUUUAGAACCCUAAACCCAAGUGCCUUGUCCCACAAUAACUUAGAUGCGAUCCUUAGGGCUUACAACACUUAUAUAAAGUGUUUACUAUGUUCUAGGAUGUCUUAACAUUAUCAAUUAGUAAUUUAAGACUAAUUGAGUGCAUAUAUGUGUGAUUAUAUGUUCAUUAGGAUCGUAGUGUGUGUACAAGUCCUCACUUGACACUUAAUAAUCCUACACCGUCCAGUUCUUCCAAACCACCAUCUACAAGUGAGUUCAUACCCCUAAUCAAUGUUUUAAAUGAUUUUAAAUGCUCUAAUGGGGGGGAAUACAAGUAGAAAAUAGCAUGUUAUUAAAUAAUCAUUAUGUAUUUCAUAACUGUGUUUUCAUUCUACAGAUUUCACAUACUACAAAAUGUGAUGCAUGAAAUGGUUUUCUACCUUUAAAAUACUUUGUUAUCAAACGUAUUACUUUUGAAAUGUUUAUCAAAAUGACAUCAAGUCACUUUUAUAUUUGUUCAAAACCCUUAGAUGUCUUACAAAACCAUUUACAUUCUUGAACUAAACUAUGCAUAUACACUUAUAUUCUUAUAUAUGUAUUGAUGUUAUAGUUUUCAUCUUUCAUUUAGUUUCCCACACUCUUAUGUAGCAAGGGUGUAUAAACCUACUUGAACAACCAAUUACCUUUCAGUUAACUAUCAUAGGGAUAGUUAGAAGAUAACAAACAUUAUUCCUAUUACAAGGAAUCACACAAGAGUCAGUUCAUUCAUGAGUCUAUACCAGUACAUUACAUAAUACAUGAGUAUAUUUAUCUAGGAUUACAUGAUACAUAAGUACGUUUUCAUAGAUACAUUUAUUUGAAUACGCUUACAUGAAUACCAUACAUGAGUACUAUUACAUAGAUACAUUAUCCUGUAUUCACUUACCUGGAUACUUGUACCUAGAGUUAUGAGGAAGAUUUAUUCGUACCUUCUAUGUAAAUUUUCCUGCCUAUCCCUGUUCGACGGGAUGUCUAGACGCGACUAACCAUUCUGGAACCCAACUGUUAGCACCACUGGGUGAUGAACAUCUAUGGAUGUCUAAGGUUAUCACUUAUAAUAGAUAGAUUGAUAUCGGAACUAACCAUUCCUCCAUCCUGCUGUUGCAACAGAGGAUGGGAUGAAAAUCUACGGAUGAUCAUUAGGUUACCACUUAUAUUAGGAGUCGGCUACGGGAAUUACCCUUCCUCAAACCUGCUGCUACUACAGAGGACAACUGGACCAUCUUCGGAGGUUCAUUAGGUUAUACAUAUCGCUUACUGCAAUGGCGUGUUAGUCCGGGUAUCCAGGGAUAACAUUUACAUGGUUAUAUUUUUCCGAUUUACUUAAUUUUGUGAUAGAUUCACAUAAACGAUGAUUUAGACUAAUUACUGUUUGUAGUAGUCAAAAAGAAGGAAAAACUAUCAUUUUACUUACAAAACAUUCGGGUCUUGGUAGAAGACUACAUUAUCAUAACAAAACAUUUGGGUCUUCGUAGAAGACUACAUUAUCAUAACAAAACAUUGGGGUCAUGGUAGAAGACUACAUUGUCAUAAAAAAACAUUCGGGUCUUCGUAGAAGACUACAUUGUCAUAACAAAACAUUCGGGUCUUGGUAGAAGACUACAUUUCAUACUAGUAGGAAAUAUGGGAUUUCUUAGGGUUUUUCAUACUUAUAUCAACUGUCUUACUUAAAGGUUUUACAUGACAUUCAUAACAGCUUUUCAAAGCAAGACAAUGACACUUAAAUACUUAUGAACUCACCAGCUUUAAAGCUAAUACUCUCUUUCAAAAUAACUUGUAUUCUCAGGUCAUCAGUAGACAGGUACGGUGGCCAGGUUUUGAGAAGACGGAAUAGACAAGGCUCGUCUUUUAUUUUGAUUAUAUAUUUGUGGUGUCUUAUUACAAUGAAAGAACACACACGUAUUAAAACUUUACUUAUAAUGCAAUGGAUGAUGUUGUUGCUUGUUUACUAUUUUACACUGUUGUGAUACUAUACAUGACGUCCUCCACCCCGGAACGUUUCUGUCGUUCUUGGUUUUGGGGUGUGACAUAUCACUACAGACUCGAAAUGACUGCAUCGAGUUUGGAAGGUAGUCUUCCGGACAUCCUUGCCUCACAAUCAAACUGGUGAUAUUCGGAUCUCAGGUCCAUUUAUGAAUGUAAUUCUUUCCUUGCUUUUUCUCAACCAAUUCAUCUAUGCGAGACAGAGGCAAAGAUUUCUAAUGGAAAAAUCUGGGCGGGGUCCUCGAUAGCCUAGGUACAAACGAUGCAAUCCGUCGACCUCUGGAAGAAUAAGACCGGAGUUCUCCAGGGUGAGAAGCCUAGUCUUCCAAUUCUAUAUCUGUGCAGUUUGCUAAGUUGUCCGGACUGUUCUUGUAUAUUUGUAGUUGUUUAGACAGUAGGGCGAUCUGUUAACAAGAAUCAUAUUGGGUUCUAAGUUUGUUCACAUGACGAUGCGAUUACUCGUAGGCUUGGGCAGUUCUCCAUCCUGAAGUUCAUAUUAGAAUUCAUACAUGGUUUCACAAUCACAAUCUCGUGUAUACGAGUUGUAUAUAAUUAUGAUUGAAAAGGUAGUCGAAUAACUGACUCUUCUUUAAGCUCACAUCCCAUUGAGGAAAAAGAAGUUAAAGUGGAAUCAUCAACUCUAAACCUAUAGAACCUUGAUUAUAUAUCACUCUUAUGUAUAUAUUCCUCAGUGAUAGAUCAACCGCAUGAAUCCUUGGAUUAAACUUGACGUACUGCACGAGUGAUACUCCAUGCAUGAGUACUUCGGUGUUUUGGAAUGACGGCUUCGCUAAAAAGACGUUUACUGAUAAAGAGAUGUACGUAUGAAGCUGUUUUUUUAGUGAGGACCAAAUUGAAUCGAGUCGUAUGAUAAUGUCGGAAUAAUACGGAAACUUAAAGACAUUAGAUUUGAACAUAAGACGUUUAUAGACAAAACACAACCGUGCAACCAUCAACAUAGUUACAAUACUUUAGACUUACUACAAGACCAUUUCUGAGAAUGAGGUAUACUACAAAAAAAAAAAGUAUACGCAACACGAGCAUCCCUAUACUGACAGGAUCUCGCAAAAAUGUAAGACUCUAGUUGCACUAGUUCUGGAUAGUUUAUAAGUCUGUUACAACGAAAAGCCUAAAUUACAUUAACGCGGUUCCGGAGCAGGUUCUCCUGCAGUUGUGAUCCUGAGAAUCUUCCCAUAUGCGCCAGAGUUCUUUGCUAUACGACAAUCCUUCUUGACGUGCCCUAUCUCACUGCAUUUGUGGCAUGACUAGCUAGUACUAGUUUUGGUGGCGGGAGUGCGGUGUUUAGCCAGUGUUAUGUGGACACGAGUGCCUUCCUCAUUACUCCACCUUGGAAAUUGCUUCCUAAAGCGUUCUGCAGGAGCUGCCACUUGUGGCUGGGGCAUGGCAAGUCUUUGGGAUCUCUUUCGCUCCUUUUGGGCUUGACGAUAUCGUCUCUUCUUUUCAAUCUUACGGUUUUGCAAGUCCAUGACUGUUGCCAUUUUUUGUUUUCCCGGUUUGGUACUACCAUCGGAACUCUCGACUCCUUCGUCAGUCUUGCUNGGCUGGGGCAUGGCAAGUCUUUGGGAUCUCUUUCGCUCCUUUUGGGCUUGACGAUAUCGUCUCUUCUUUUCAAUCUUACGGUUUUGCAAGUCCAUGACUGUUGCCAUUUUUUGUUUUCCCGGUUUGGUACUACCAUCGGAACUCUCGACUCCUUCGUCAGUCUUGCUUGUGUUGCCCGAGUUGAUGUGUGUAAGGAAAGUUGUCACAGCAGCUGCUACUGUAGCUUGUAAUGUAGUGGCGUCGAUAUGGAGGAUAGGGGUUUCGUUGCUCGGCCGAUUGUUUCUGGAUGACGACAUUAUUCUGUUAACACGAAAGAUAAGGAUUUUGUGAGCGAUUAUGGUUGACCCUAGAUGUACUUCGAUUGUUCAAGUAAAGAGUAAGAGUAUGUUUUCGACAGCUUGACCUACAUCCCUAGGAUGUAGUCCUAGUACGGAUUGGAGGUAUGGUCGCAAAGGUUUGACCUACAUUUCUAUGAUGCAGUCCUAGUAAUGGGUAGAAGUAAGUUCGUAGAAUGGUCUCAAGACAUUUGUCGUUCAAUCCGAGGUAUCGUUGGUUGCUGAACAACAUGAUCCAACCAUUAAAAUAGACUUGGAAAUGUCUCCGGAGCUAAAUUGAUAUAGUCCAAUGACUUGACUAAAGCAUGUUUCAGGUAUACUCAAAUGAGAGUAUGAUGAGAGUACUUGAAUAAAGAAUGACACAGGAGUUACCCGACUAUCAAUAUCUUUGAUAUUCAUGAUGUACAAGUUUGGGAAAAUGACCUUGUAAAAAGGUCUUACAUCAUACACCACAAAGAUAGUCCUUGACAGCAUAAAGACCUAACCAAAAGUACUGACGAUACAAGAUAAUUUCAUAGAAAAUUCCACAUCGGGCAUAGACAAAAAAACGAUUACUUUUAAAAAGGAAAAUAAAGUAGAGCAUCCACUACUGGCGACGGUCAUCCCUCUCGUGAACUCUCAUUUCAUCCAGUUGAUGCUCCACAUCAAGUAGGUGUCUUUCGUACACCCUCUGGCGUACUUGGAGCUUUAUGACUUCGGCUCAUGAUUCAGCCAGUACUUGCAGCAGGGUUUCAUGGUUUCUCUCAGAUCUCGUACGCGCAUCUUCUAGACGAAUGGUACGGAGGGUAUGCAUUCUUGCAUCUGCGACAACUUCGGUGAUCUGAUGUAGGGCUGUCCUGCCUUGAAUCUCAUUCUGGGCCACUCUGCGGACCAAGAUUGGCAGGAUUCUGUCUGCUAAGCCCCCAUUGCCCAGGUCAUAGAAGCUACGGUCACCAUUAAAUGGCAUGGGUUGAUCUUGCCCUUGGCUCCAUGUUUCCAAGCAUUCCACCCACUCAGGCAUCGGGCCAUGAAAAGUUGGACGAGGGUUAGGAAUUGGAACGGGAUCUGCCUGGGGUAGGUUCUCAACCUUGCGUUCGGAGUUAGCACCGUCUGAAAGGUCUUCAUCAUGGUGAUCAUUCAAAGGGAUAGGAUGAUCAUUAACUAGUUCUUCUCCAAACAAACCAUCAAUGACUUCGUUCGGGAGAUACUGGUUGUCGUGGGAUGGAGUCCAGCCAUGUUAUCUACGCAAGAAUUGGGGUAAGAAAAUAAUUAUUAGACGAACUAUCUAGAUAAUUAUUUAGAAAAUCUUCAUUAGUUACAUCGCUAUCUGUGAAGUGCAUACCAGUUAUAUGUAAUCUAAACAGGACAUGCCUUCGAAUAAAUGACCUUAACUCCAAAUUCACACAGAAUAGGGGUAAAGUAAAAUUUUCACAGAUUCUAAGUCUAUAACAUCCUAAUUACAUAUAUCCUUAGUGUAUCCACUCAGCAACUAUCAACUUAGUAAUGAAGAUCCCGCUUUAGUUCUCAAGUAUAAAGUACUUAUAGUAACACCAAAUACUCCUAUAGCGUUUUAAGUUUAAUGUUACGUUCUACUAUUCUCAUUGUGGUAUUGUUGGUAAUAUUUUAGACUUGUUGCAACCACACAACUACACUUAGGCACAUGCUAGUCAACUCUAGGAUAAUAUAGUUGAUCAGGCUAUAUCUUGUAAGUUUUGACCAUAUGUCUCUAAGUCCACAUGUGUUGCCCAACAAUCGUAAUUCUUUUGUACUGUCCUAGUGACACUGAUUUUAGUAUGAAUACAGGCACGUACACUUAAUUAAAUAUUUUACUAUAUAACAUAUAAACUCUUGGUUAGAGUAUUUUUAAUCCCUAUGAGGAUAAUAUAGUUGAUCAGGCUAUAUCUUGUAAGUUUUGACCAUAUGUCUCUAAGUCCACAUGUGUUGCCCAACAAUCGUAAUUCUUUUGUACUGUCCUAGUGACACUGAUUUUAGUAUGAAUACAGGCACGUACACUUAAUUAAAUAUUUUACUAUAUAACAUAUAAACUCUUGGUUAGAGUAUUUUUAAUCCCUAUGUAUUUAUAGUUAGUAUAUCUUUUAUGGGUUGAUAUACUUAAUUCACUAUAAACAAUGCUCUGAUACCAAUCUGUCACACCCCAAAACCAAGAACGGCGGAAACGUUAUGGAGCGGAGGACGUCCUGUACAGUAUUACAACAAUGAAAAGUAGUAAACAAGCAACAACAUCGUCCAUUGCAUUAAUAAUAUAAUUUUAAUACAAGUUUUCUGUCAAAUUAUAAUAGACACUAAAGUAUAAACAAAAUGAAAGAUGAGUCUUGAACGAGCUCCAUCUUGUCUAAACGUUGCAUCGGUACCUGUCUUUUGUUGACUUGAGGAUACAAGUUAUUUUGAAAGCGAGUAUCAGCUUAAAAGCUGGUGAGAUCAUAAGUAUUAAUGUGUCUUAAUUUGUAUGUGGGUAUUUCUUUGACAUGUAACGAAAGACUUGAAAAUGUUUUGAAACAAAGUUUGUGUAAGUAUGAAAAUGUUUGUAAAACAACUGUAAACGUUUGAAAAACCCUAGGAAUACCUAUGAAUCCUACUAUUAUAAAAGGGAGUCUUCUACCAAGACCUAACUCUUCUAAAUGUAGUGUUCUACCAAGACUUAACUGUUCUAAAUGUAGUCUUCUACCAAGACUUAACUGUGCUAGUAUUAUUAUUAUGAUUAUAAGACAUUGUAUCCUUUGGUACUAGGAUACUGAAAGAUAACUCACCUCAUCAAUUAUGUGAAUGGGUCACAUGAUAAAGCUAAUAAUAUAAAUAACCUAAGUAUUACCCUUUGGUACUAGGGUAGCUAACAAUGUUAACUAGAGACAUCCUUAGAUGUACAUUCACCUAUGUUGCUAAUAGAUGGGUAUAGGAAUAGUUAGUCCCUUAAAGUAUACCUGUAAUGGUAUCAACCGUUGAGAUCCGUGGAUGUGCUUUUACCUCUGUAGCUAACAGAGAUUCUAGGAAUGGUUAAUCCCGCAAGGUAUCCUUUGGUACUAGGAUAUUAAAUCCAAUAUAUCUCGCCGAUUAUGUGAUUGUAUCACAACGUGAAGAUAAUAAUGAGGAUUAUAUAAUAGAAUAUGUACAUAUAAAAUGUACUAUUAAUUCAUCAUAUGUUAUCUAUGUAAACGUACUCAUGUAAAUGUACUCAUGUAAAUGUACUCAUGUAGAUGUAUCUAUGUAAAUGUAAUCAUGUAAAUGUACUCAUGUAGAUGUAUCUAUGUAAAUGUACUCAUGUAAAUGUACUCAUGUAGAUGUAUCUACGUAAAUGUACUCAUGUAAAUGUAAUCAUGUAGAUGUAUCUAUGUAAAUGUACUCAUGUAAAUGUAAUCAUGUAAACAUAUUUAUGUAAUAAUAUAGUAAUAUACUGUGUGUACUAGCUGUGAUGUGUGUUCUCUCUCUAUCUAGCAAGUAUUGACUCAUGAAUGAACUGACUCAUUGUAUGAUAUCGUGUUCUAGUAAUUGUUCUAGUAUCUUCCUAAACUACCCAUACAGUAGCUUACUAGUAAUGUAACUGGCACGUAUGAACAUGGAAGUAUACCCUUCCUACCCAAGGGUAUUGAAUGAACUGGGAAACCUUUAUGACUAUAUAUGUACACAUGAUAUAUAACUAAUAUUUAAACAACCUUCUGACGGAUACCCGAUGUCCCACCAGACCACAUCUCAAGCGCGACAAGGAAAUAGGGUGGAUAGCCUUCCUAAGUCUUUUAAACAUUUAUUAUAUAACUAUACAUAUAUAGGCAUGCAAUUGAUAAUACAAAAUCAUAAAAUAAGUUUUAUUAUCUAAGAAAAUAUCGACUUGAUGUCAAUCUAUAAAAUGGUCUGAAAGCAUGCAUUUGAUAAAACAGUUUAAGUAUAAAGAAACAUUUAUUUGAAACAUAACUGUAAAUUAGUUUGAAAUGAAACAUACAUAGUAAAAUAUACAGUUUAAUAAGUAGUUUUAAACAUCUAAAGCGUUUAUGAAAAACAUUUGAAGGAAACUCUUUGAUAAAACGGCUAAUGAGUAGUAAAUCAUUUGAACGCUGCUUAUUAAUCACAUGUGAUUAAUACAAUAAGUAGCAUGAUUCUACUUGUACCCCCAUCAUAAAGCAUUGAAAAACAUUUAAAAUAUUGAUUAAGGGGUAUGAACUCACCUGUUGCGAGUGGAUCGGAAGGAAGUAUCGGAUAAGUGCUUGGUGUCAAGUGAAGACUUAGACACGCACAAAGAUCCUAAUUACAUUUGAGGACAUAUGUAUAUAAACAAUUAGUCUUUAAACAACUAAUAAACUAGUAAAGACACUCUAGGACAUGACAAACACUUUGUAUAAGUGUUAUAAGUGCUACGGAGUGCAUCUAAGUGUUGUAGAGAAAGGCUAGUGUGUUUGGGGUUCAAGGAACACUCCUAAAAUGAGUUUACUCCCUAAAGACCAACACCCCUUGAGUUUACGGUCAUAAACUCUUGAGUUUACGGUCGUAAACUCCUAACCUUUUGACCAUUUGUUAUUUUGAAGUCUUCUAAGCUAUUCCAAACAUUCCUACUUCAUGUUUAAGACUUAGGAAGUGUUGUGUGGCAUCAAAACACUCCUAAAUGCAGUUUACGGUCUAAGGACCAUUUCUCCAUGAGUUUACUACCUUAAACUCAUAAGUUUGGUAUUUGGGGGUUUUCAAGUCCUUAGCUCAAUCAUGGCAAUAGUCUAGGUUAGAUUUAGACAUAAGGAACAACCAUGGGACAAUUUUGGGACUUUUAUACACCUUUUAGGGUGUUUAUGGUUCUGGGAGAUCCCCAAACCGUAAAAACAUAAAAAUGUAAGGUUUUGGUGCUUUUUGUUUGAUAAACUCAUCAAGAAUGAAUCUAGACAAGUUCCUAAGGCAUUGUGAAGCAUCUAGGCACCAUAACUCACCACUGUGGCCCUAUUCUUGGUGUUUACGGUUUUGGGACCUCCCAAAACCAUGAACACCUUUAUCUUGGUGUUCUUGGGACUUUUCGUUGAUGCUAAUAUGUAAUACAAGCUUAAUAAGACUCAAGGAUUGAAGUACUUACUAUAAGGAAGCUUGAAUUGAGCUAAAAGUCCAAGAACACUUAGUGUGUUUUCUUGGUGUUUUUGGAAAACUAAUCAAAACACAAAAAUGGAUGGAUUAAAGGAUGUACAAUCACUAGAUUAAGUGAUAUACCAACUUGAAAUGGCUAGAUCACUUACAAGUGUGAAGAUCUUGAAUUAAUUCUAGGAUGAUACUUGAGAGGAUUUUUUGAAUUUACUCUUUUGGUAAAUGGGCAGUAAACAUGAAAUGACUAGUUUGGGGAGUAAACUCAAGCUUAUGCAUGAAUUCAUGGUUUUUGGGUGAUUUUUCGACCCAAACAUAAAAGUUUGGCCGUGAACUUCUAAGACACGAGGUGUUUGCGGUUUAGCAAUUUCAAGACCCGAGACGACACUUUCUUUCACUCGUUCGUUUAAAGAAUAAUAUUAAAAUAAUCAGACGAACUUUAAAUUUGCUAAAAAUAAGUAAUAAUGUAAUUGACCUAUAAAUCGAAGUGAUUGACUUUUAGGGUUUUACCGAAUGAAAAUUUCGAGUUGUUACACGUUGAUCUCGAUCUCAUCGAGUGGAAUAACAAGAGUCUCAUCGAACAGACACUUUUUCAAGUUCGAUACGUGGAAGGUAGAAUGUAUGUUACUGAGUUCGCGCGGUAAGUUAAGUUUGUAAGCUNGUUCGCGCGGUAAGUUAAGUUUAUAAGCUACAGGGUCGAUUCUUGCGAGAAUCUCAAAAGGCCCAAUGUACCUUGGAUUUAGCGUUCCAUGCUUUCUAAAGUGUAUCAAGCCCUUCCAAGGUGAGACCUUCAAUAGAACACGAUGUGACAACCCAAAAUUUCCAUUCUGAACAAACCAUAUCAAGCCAAUAGAAGUUAGAACAGUUACAGAAAAAUUCCGGACUUUAGGUAUAAGUUUGAGUAUUUAGGGUUUAACAAUUAAGGAGAUAUCUGGAGAGUGGUUGCACUAGGGUUUUGUGCAACAUGUUUAUUCCAAUACUCUAUGAUAUUAGAGUUCAUUCCACGAAUAAAAUAUUUUCUGCCAAAAAUCUCAGGACUAUAUAUAGAAAUCUGAGCCAUAUUCAUUCAUUAGUUACAUUUCCAACUACAGAAAAGCCAUUUUCUCUCUCACGGAUCUUCGGGUUUUAUCCCAAAUCGUGAGUAUCUCUCUCUAGUAGUGUUAUAUAGCUUAUAAUGUGGUUAUAACAUAGAUAUCAUAGCUAAGCAACUAGAUUUAGGAGUUUACUCCCCAAGGUGUUCUUGGCGGUAAACUCUCGAAACAAUGCCUAGCCUUUCCCCCCGUGAUAUAUUAUUACCUUAUGCUUGUAUAUAGGUGUAAUUGGGACAAGAAAACAACAAAGAAACACCAAAGAUUAGGUGUUCACGGCCCCAGAGGAUCUUGGACCAUGAACUCCAAAAACUUGGACCAAAGUGUGCUUUUAAUGCAUCUAAAGCCUUGGACUAUCACAUAGAAUUACUUCCACUUAAAUCAAGGACUCUAACACAUCAAAAAUCCCUCUUUUUGAGAGAUUAGGACCCUAAUAAGGCUCCUGGGCCGUAAACAUGAAAGAAGGGCACCAAAGUGUGCCUAAGGCCUUCAUUUGCCUUAGGUAAAAGUGUAGAACCUAUCCUACAUGUGUAUGAGACUUGAAAGCAUCAAAAAUACCCUUCCAUGUGAGUUUACGGCAGUAAACUCCAAAGGAAUUGGCCUUGGGGCCGUAAACUCCUCAAAGGAGGUUAUUAGUUCCUUAAACCCUUCCAAGAAUUAAACCACCAAGUUGGAAUACUUCUAGGGAUCAUUUAGAACUUCAAAACACAAAAGGACACCAAGAUUAGGAAUUCACGGCCGUAAACACAAGGUGUUAUGACCGUAAACUCCUUGUGUGGGGUUUAUGGAAGAGUAAACUCAUGUAUAGGGUCCUUUGGAACCCUAAACCCAAUUGCCUUGUCCCACAACAACUUAGAUGCAAUCCUUACGGCUUAUAACACUUAUAUAAAGUGUUUAUUAUGUUCUAGGAUGUCUUAACAUUAUCAAUUAGUAAUUUAAGACUAAUUGAGUGCAUAUAUGUGUGAUUAUAUGUUCAAUAGGAUUGGAGUGUGUGUACAAGUCCUCACUUGACACCUAACAAUCCUACACCGUUCAGUUCAUCCAAACCACCAUCUACAGGUGAGUUCAUACCCCUUAAUCAAUGUUUUAAAUGAUUUUAAAUGCUUUAACGGGGGGAAUACAAGUAGAAAACAAUAUGUUAUUAAAUCACUCUUAUGUAUUUUAUAACUUUGGUUUCAUCCAGUAGAUUUCACAUACUUCAAAAUGUGAUACAUGAAAUGGUUUUCUAUCUUAAAAUACCUUGAUAACAAAAGUACUAGUUUUGAAAUUUAUAUUAAAAUGACAUCAAGUCACUCUUGAUUAUUGUUCAAAACUCUUAGAUAUCUUGCAAAACCAUUAUUUUUACCUUCUUGAGCAAAACUUCACUUAUACGCAUAUGUUCUUAUAUAUGUAUUGAUGUUAUUUUUUCAUCCUUCGUUCAGUUUACCUUCUUGAACAACCAAUUACUUUCCAGUUAAUUAUCAUAGGGAUAGUUGGAAGAAACAAAACAUUAUUCCUAUUACAAGGAAUCACACAAGAGUCAGUUCAUUCAUGAGUCUAUACCAGUACAUUACAUGAUACAUGAGCACAUUCACCUAGGAUUACAUUAUACAUGAGUACGUCUACAUAGAUACCUUUAUCUGAAUACGCUUACAUGAAUACCCAACAUGAGUACUGUUACAUAGAUACAUUAUCCUGUAUUCACUUACCUGGAUACUUGUUCCUAGAGUUACGAGGAAGAUUUAUUCGUACCUUCUGUGUAAAUUUUUCCUGCCUAUCCCUGUUGGAUGGGAUGUCUAGACAUGACUAACCAUUCCUGAACCCAGCUGUUAGCACCAGUGGGUGAUGAACAUCUACGGAUGUCUAAGGUUACUACUUAUAUUAGGAGUCGGCAUCGGGACUAAUGUAACAAUUGGUAAAUAUAGGAACGAUCGUACGAUGCUAUGUUUUGAUUAUUAAGCAAUAUGAGUAUUUUAUCAAGAAUGGUUGAAGGAAUUUAACCUCUUUUAUUUAAAUAAGUUCUUGUGAAAUAUAAAACAAGUAACUAUUGAUAAAUUUCGUUAUGAUGUAUGACUACGAACCAUCACCGGUUUGUGAAAAGUAGCAUAUAACAUCAUUUGAACACAACAAACUUAAUUUUGUAUCAACAUGUAUCUUGUUGAUAAUUAAGUUAGGUUCUAUGUAAAAUGUGUGCUUAAUAGUUGUGGAGGACCUAAAUUUGAAAAAUAUACGAACCAAAGUGACAAAACGUGUUUAACGAUAUGGUUAACUGGUUAAAUGUCACGAAAUUAUACAUUGGUCUAUAAAUUUUAUAUUUAAAUAAAUAAAAAUAUAAAAUAAAUUACCAUAAGGUAUAAUUAGAAUGUAUUUAAGUGUUUUUGAAUAAAAAGAAUAAAACAUAAACAUUAAAGUUCAAAUACACAAAAACUACAUUGUUAUUUUAUACUAAGUAUACAUGUAUGUAUUUGUAUAUAUGUAUUAUUAUCUAGUGAAUGACUAGUUAUGGGUCAUGAUUUAAGUGAUUUCAUGUAAGGAAUGUGAUUUCUAAAUCAAUUAAGAUAAGAGAAUUGGUGGUGAUAUGUGCCAACUUAACUAAUAAGUGCAUAAUCACUGAAGACAUUUUACUAAGAAUGCUUAUUAAUCCCUCUUCUAAUUUUAGAGAUUAAGACCUUCCCUCUCCUUAACUAGAACUCCUAACUAACUAAAUAACUACUAGUUAGUUAGUUAACUAAAUCUAUCUCUAAGCAACCACCCAAGCAAGUGGCUAGACAAGAUCACAUCCCAUCACAAGCUAGUCUAGGUUUUGUCCCGUUAUCCUCUUCCACCCUUUCCUCCUUCAUAAUCAAGAAAUUUACUCAUCACUUUACCCUAAAUUAACCAGCCAAUACUCCAGGAAAUUACUCUCAACCUUCAUCUCAUUUCCAGCCACAAGAACUUCCUUCCAAAGCCAUCAAAACCAUGAACUAAAGGGCUGUUGUCCCUUUUGUGUAUCAGCCACCAUAUCACCCAUCUACACCUUCCUUUUGCUUGAUAUUUUUACCACCAAAUACCCCUGGAAGUUAGUUGUUAUGCUACUAAAAAUUAUUGAUUCAAAACAGUGAGUAAACUACCCUUUUUUCUUACUCUUUUGCUGUGAAGUUUUCGUGACAGCAACAUAGCCAAAACAGUGGCUGUUUUGGAGCAUCAAACCAACAACCAAAAGUUCUUCAUCUUUAACCUUCCAUUCUUCAUGUAUUCACAUAAGGUGAGUUCAUACCCCUAUAUUUUCAUGCUUUCUUCAAGUUUUAAGGGGGGAAUACAAGUUAGAACACUAAACAUAACUUAAAUUUAAAUGACAGCUUUCUACAGAAAAGUUGAGUCCUGUUCACGGACUGUUUUGACCAUCUUAAACUUAAUAUCUUUCAAAACUGUACAAUAUGCAAAUAGUUCAAGUUUAUACCUUUCUAAUGACUACUCGCACGCGUUCAUACGAUUUUUCUACAAUUUAUGGCGAUUUUUAUAAAACUGUCUGUCAUUUCAGAAGUGAUUUCGGACCAGUCUGUGAAUAUGUUCAUUUUCACACUAGUUUGAGACCACUAAAAAUCAUAAUAAAAAUUAGGAACAAAGUAGACUCAUUUUAUAAACUCUCAGAGGUGACGGAUUCAGUUUUUGACUUACGAGGAUUUUUCUAUGAGUUUUCUAAAAACAGGGACAGUAAAGGGUAAAACUGUCAAAAGUGGUUUAUAGAUUUAUUAACACCUUCUAACAUUUUUGAGCAAUGUUUAUACAUUAAGGAAGUUAAAACACAAUCAUUUAAAUAUGUUUAAUUACCAUUUUUACAAAAGUGAUAAGUACAAAAAGGUCUUUAGUAUCAAACUUAAGGAUUAUUUCAUGCAAAGUUUCUAAUAAAAACGUAAGAAUAUGAACAACAAUUACGAAACAUACCAAAUCAUCUUUUAAAAUUUAUACAUAUAUAUAACCAUAUACAUAUAUAUGUUUUGUUUACAAANNNNNNNNNNNNNNNNNNNNNNNNNNNNNNNNNNNNNNNNNNNNNNNNNNNNNNNNNNNNNNNNNNNNNNNNNNNNNNNNNNNNNNNNNNNNNNNNNNNNNNNNNNNNNNNNNNNNNNNNNNNNNNNNNNNNNNNNNNNNNNNNNNNNNNNNNNNNNNNNNNNNNNNNNNNNNNNNNNNNNNNNNNNNNNNNNNNNNNNNNNNNNNNNNNNNNNNNNNNNNNNNNNNNNNNNNNNNNNNNNNNNNNNNNNNNNNNNNNNNNNNNNNNNNNNNNNNNNNNNNNNNNNNNNNNNNNNNNNNNNNNNNNNNNNCAAUCCCGCACCUUAGCUGCUUGCAACAGCUAGACCGGCAGGUCUAGGGGUGACAAAUGUCAUAACGAAAUCGACACCUGAAGAACGUUGCGAACAAGGCAGUCUGGGUCAAUCAAGCAUGGUUAUAAGAUAAAAAUUAAAACUCAAGUAAACCAACAAUGACACUUUUAGUUUACGCAAAGACAGUCUUCAAAUAGUUUUAUAUACAAACAAAACUGCAUAACAUCAUUUUAAGUAGGAAAAUUACUUAUAUGCUUCAGUCUUGGUUCAUUUAAGGCCACAUCUCAUUUUAGGGAAAAUAUAGGAUUUUCCGGAAAACAAACAUUACUACGUUUCAUAGAAAAGGUUUACAAAUAUAAAUACAAAUGCUUAUGAACUCACCAACUUAAAUGUUGAUACUCUCUUUUCAAAUAACAUGUAUUCUUAGGAAAUCAGUAAAUCAGGUAACAACUGGCUUUGAGGAUGGGACACUUAGGCGUCUAAACAAAUCUUUUGACAACAUAUUGUAAUUGAUAUUUUGAAACAUGUAAUACGUACAAAUGAUGUAACUUUUUCAAUUAUAUAUAUGUAUAUAUAUAUAUAUAUAUAUAUGUUGGUUGUGUUUCCUUUGAACAUUUAUACUCAACUGUUAUGAUACACUACAUGAUAGUCACAUGCCCCUGGAUGUUUCCGCCAUCCUGGUUUGGGGGUUUGACAUAACCCAUCCUCUAACCUGCUGUUGCUACAGAGGACAAUUGGACAAUCUUCGGAUGUUCAUUAGGUUAUACAUUUCACUUACUGCCAUGGCGUGUUAGUCUUGGUAACCAGGGAUAACACUUACAUAGUUAUAUUUUUCCUAUUUACUUUAUUUCGUGAUAUAUUCACAUAAACGAUGAGUUAGACUAAUUACUGUUUGUAGUAGUCAAAAAGAAGGAAAAACUAUCAUUUUACUUACAAAACAUUCGGGUCUUGGUAGAAGACUACAUUGUCAUAACAAAACAUUCGGUUCUUGGUAGAAGAUUACAUUUCAUACUAGUAGGAAACAGGGGAAUUUCUAAGGUUUUUCAUACUUAUACCAACUGUUCCAUUUAAAGAUUUACAUGACAUUCAUAACAGUAUUCCAAAACAAGACAAUAACACCUAAAUUCUUAUGAAUUCAACAGCUUUAAAGCUAAUACUCGCUUUCAAAAUUACUUGUAUUCUCAGGUCAUCAAUUAGACAGGUACGAUGGCCAGGUUUUGAGAAGACGGAGCACAGACAAGACUCGUCCUAUUUUGAUUAUUCGUUUUAUUGUUGUACAUUAUGAAAAACACACAUGUAUUAAAACUUUACUUUUAAUGCGAUGGAUGAUUUUGUUGCUUGUUUACUACUUUACACUGUUAUGAUACUUCACAUGACGUCCUCCACCCCAGAAUGUUUCCGCCGUUCUUGGUUUUGGGGUGUGACAGAUUGGUAUCAGAGCUUUGUUUAUAAUGAAUAUAGUAUAUAAACCCAUAAAAGAUAUACUAACUAUAAAUACAUAGGGAUUAAAACACUCUGUCUAAGAGUUAUACUUUUAAAUAAUAGAGCAUUUAACAAAGUAUACGUGCCUGCAUUCAUACUAAAAUCCGUGUCACAAUGACAAGAACAAAAGUAUUGAGAUUGUUGAAUAUCACAGGUAAGCUUGGGGAUGUAUGGUCAGUCUUGGGAGUGGCAUAGCCUGAUCAACUAUGUUGUUCCUAGGAGUGAUUAGCACAUGCCUAAGAAUGGUUGUAAUAUGGCAACAAGUCUAAAAACUUACCAACAUUACCAUAAUGAGAACAUUAUAAUAGAACCUAAGUCUAAAAUACCAUAGGGGUUUUUUGUGUUACUACAAGUACUUUAUACUUGAGAACUAAAACGGGAUCUUCAUUACUAAGUUGAUAGUUGCUAAGUGGAUACACUAAGGAUAUAUGUAAUUAGGAUGUUAUAGACUUAGAAUCUGUGAAAUUUUACUCCACCCCAAUUCUGUGUGAAUUUGGAGUUAAGGUCACUUAUUCGAAGGCCUAUCCUGUUUCGAUUACAUAUAAUUUGUAUGCACUUUACAGAUAGAGAUGUAACUAAUGAAGAUAUGCUAAAUAAUUAUCUAGAUAGUUCGUCUAAUAAUUAUUUUCUUACACCAAUUCUCGCGUAGAUAACAUGGCUGGAUUCCAUCCCCACGACAACAUGUUCCUUCUGAACGAAGUGAUUGCUGGAUGGUUUGGAGAAGAACCAGAUAAUGAUCAUCCGAUCCCUCUGAAUGAUCACCAUGCUGAAGACCUUUUAGACGGUUCUAUCUCCGAACCCGAGGUUGAGAACCUACCCCAGGCAGCUCACUUUCCAAUUCCUAACCCGCGUCCGGCUUUUCAUGGCCCGACGUCUCCAUGGGUAGAAUGUCUGGAAACAUGGAGCACAGGUCAAGAUCAACCUAUGCCAUUCAAUGGAGACCAAAGAUUCUACAACGUAAGUGAAGGGAGCUCAACAGACAAAGUUCUACCAAUUCUGAUCCGAAGAGUUUCCCGAAAUGAAAUUCAGGGCAGGACAACUCUACAACGUAUUGUAGAAGUUGAUACAAAAGGAGGAAUGCAUAUGCUUCGCACCGGUCGCCUUGAACAUGCUCAUGAGAGGUCUGAAAGAGACCAUGAGACCUUUCUGCAAGCACCGGCUGAAUCACGAGCUGAAGGCAUAGAACUUCGAGUACGCCAUAGAGUGUACGAAAGACACCUUCUUGAUGUGGAACGCCAACUGGCUGAACUGAGACUUCACCAAAGGGAUGACCGUCGCUAGUAGUAGAUACUUUAUUUUAUAUUCCUUGUUAGAAAGGAAUCGUGUUUCUGUCUAUGCCCGAUGUGGCAUUUUCUAUGAAACUAUCUAUUACUGUAAGUACUUUAGUUAGCUCUUUAUAUUGUCAGGAACUAUCUUCUCUGAUAUGAUGUGAGACCUUUUACAAGGUCAUUUUUCCCAAACUUGUACGUCAUGAAUAUCAAAGAUACUGACAGUCGGCUAACUUCCGUGUCAUUCUUUAUUCAAAUACUCUUAUCAUACUUUCAUUAGAGUCUAUCUGAUGAAACAUGCACUAGUCAAGUCAUGGGACUAUAGCAAUUUGACUCCAGAGGCAUUUCUGAGUCUCUUGUAUUGGUUGGAUCAUAUUAUUCAUCAACCAACGAUGCUUCGGCUCGAACGACAAACAUCUUGAGACCAUUGUACGAACUUACUUCCGUUCUUUGCUAGGACUGCAUCAUAGGGAUGUAGGUCAAAGCUUCGUGAACACACUUCCAUUAUGUAUUAGGACUACAUCAUAGGGAUGUAGGUCGAACCUUAGAGAAAAUACUUCUAUUCUUUACAUGAGCGAUCGAACUGCGUCUAGGUUCAACCAUUCUUGCUUACAAAUUCAUUUUUCCUUCCGUGUAACAGAAUCAUGUCACCCAAGAAAAACGAUCAGCCCAUCAACCAAACAUCAGCCCUUCAGAUUGAUGCAGCUACAUUUCAAGCUGCAGUCUCGGUUGCCGUGUCAGCUAUUCUGACCCACCUGAACGCUAACAACGCAAGUCUUAGCGGGAUUGUUAACAAUCAUUCCAAUGCAAGUAAUAAUCAUGAACCGCAACAAGUAGCAAACUACCACGACACCCCGAGUCCCAAGACCAAGAGUAACAAACCGAAGUCUUGGAAUAAACCUAAGGACAAGUCGCUUCGAAGGGCGAAUAGGAAACAACCACCCGUAACAACCUUCACANCCCCCAGUAAACCUUCCCAGCCACGACAUCAAUACCUCCUACUACCAUCCCUUCGGGCAUCCCAAUUGUCCCAAACCCAGUCAAUCAAUAUGCUGGCAAUCUCCCAAAAUGCGUUCAAUGCAGUUUUCACCACCAUGGACCUUGUAGGGAGAAGUAGUGCUCAAACUGCAACAGAAAGGGGCACACCAAGCAUUACUGCAAGAGCCUAACAAGGCCGAACAACCAAGUGCCUAGCACCAGUGUGAACCAAGCUUGCUACGAUUGUGGCAAGGUAGGUCACUACAGAAGGAACUGCCAGAGGCAGCAAAUGUUGGCAGCGACGGCAGUAUGCUAUUGACUACCGCCGUAGGNNNNNNNNNNNNNNNNNNNNNNNNCCGUAGGAGUGUCUACUCCGGACCCACGUUAAUGUAAUUUAGGCGUUUCGUUGUAAUAGACUUAUGAACCAUCCCAAAACUAGUGCAACCAGAGUCUUAUCUUUUGCGGGAUCCCGUCCAUUUAGGGAUGCUCGUGCUGCGUAUACUUGUCUUUUGUAGUAUACCUUGGUCGCAACAACAGUCUUGUAGUAAAUCUAAUAGUACAGUAACUCUGUUAAUGGUUGCACUGUUGUGUUUUGGUCUGUAGUGCCUUAUGUUCAAAUCUAAUGUUUUUAGUUUCCAUAUGUUCCCGACUUUAUCAUAUGACUCGAGUAAAUUCGAUCCUCGCAAUACCAGCUUCAUAAGUACAUCUCUUUCUCAGUAAACGUCUUUUAGCGAAGCUAUCAUAUCAGAACACCGAGGUACUCGUGCGUUGAGUACCUUAUAGCACUUUUCCUUUCCAAAGGAAUCCCCACAGUAUUACUCGUAGAGUACGUCAAGUUCAAUUCAAGGAUUCAUACGGUUGAUCUAUCACUGAAGAAUGUAUACAUGAGAGUGAUAUAUAAUCAAUGUUUUACACGUUUAGAAUUGAUGAUCCCACUUUAACUUCUUUUCCCUCGAUAGGAUGUGAGAUUAAGGAAGAAUCAGUUAUUCGACUACCUUUUCAAUCAUAAUUAUAUACGAAUCGUAUACAUGAGAUUGUGAUCAUUGAACCAUGUAUGAAUUCUAAUAUGAACUUCAGGACGGAGAAUGUCCAAGUGUAGAUCACCGUUGUGUUGGGCUGAGGUGGGUGACACCUAGCUAGCAAAAACACUAGCAUCGGACAAGGCGCUAACGGGACCGGAGAUCAUUCGUGAAACCACGGAAAAGAUAGUUCAAAUCAGAGCUCGACUACAAGCAUCGCGCGACCGACAGAAGAGCUACACUGAUAAACGGCGAAAGCCAUUAGAGUUUCAGGUCGGGGAUCGAGUGCUGUUAAAAUUUUCACCUUGGAAAGGAGUCAUUCAUUUCGGAAAACGGGGAAAACUGAACCCACGAUAUAUUGGACCUUUCGAGAUCGUUGCCCGGAUAGGUCCAGUGGCGUACAAACUGCAACUACCCGCGGAGCUAAACAGUGUACACCCCGUGUUCCAUGUCUCCAAUCUAAAGAAGUGCCUAUCAGAUGAAACACUCGCCAUUCCCCUUGACGAGAUUGAAAUCAACGAGAAUCUCCUGUUCGUUGAAGAACCGGUUGAAAUCAUGGACAGGGAGGUGAGGCGUACCAAGCAAAGCCGCAUCCCGAUUGUGAAAGUACGGUGGAACACGAAGCGUGCGCCAGAAUUCACGUGGGAAUGCGAAGACCAAAUGAAGCAAAAGUACCCUCACCUAUUCUAGCAUUCUCAAAUCUAGCUUUCAAAAGAAUUUCGGAACGAAAUUCCCUGUAACGGGGGGAUGAUGUCACAAUUAGAAAUUUUUGUGCCUUGUAACCAACACUUAAACCAAAUUAUGAAUCAAAAACAUAAGAGCAUGUAUGAUGCAUACUCUAUGACAGAAAAAUCUCAAUCAAACAUCUCAUGCAAGCAAUUCAAAUAGCCAUUAAGCAAUUGGAAACCCUAGAAGUUCUUGUUUAAGUCCAUUUUGGACUAGGACUUCCUUAUUGGGCCCAAUGGACCAAUAAGCUUCCAAUUUGGCUAUCUUGGGCUUAGAACUCUUAAAUGGGCUCUAAUUGGACCCAGAUCCAUUUAAUUUAAUAUUUUAGGCCAUAUUGUGCCUAGAAUGAAAUAGAUUAAUUAUAUGAACCAUUUUGGACCAUAAUUAACCUAAUCUAGCCUAAUAAGUCAUAAAAAUCAUAUUUAUAUUUUUUUAGGGCCAAAAAUCAUCCAUCCUAGCUAUAACAUGGGCUUAAGGGCAAAAAUCCCAAAAACCUCCUAUCACCCUCCCCAUUCUCGGCCCAAGCCCAAAAGAAGAGGAGAGUUGACUUUAUGAUUGACACCUCACAAUUGUUCAAGGGACAUCCAUGCAUGAAGACUCAAACAUCCAUGCACUCACAUACUUCCAAGUCUAGCUACUCUUUUUCUCCCUCUCUCUCUUGCUCUCGGCCGAGUUCAAGCACACACACACACACAUUUCACUCACUUUUCUCUCAAGGAAACACUCUCAUAACUCAUCCAUACUUCGAGAUCUAAGAAGGAAUCAAGGGGAUUUUUACACAAAAAUCAUCAUCUAAGGUAAGAAAUCUCUUAGAUCCUUAAGCUAGCUACUUCAUUUCAUCCAAAAAUCACCUCUUAAUUCAUUCAAACUCAUGAUCUAGCACCUUAGAAGCAUCCAAGUUAGAAAUCUUCCAAGGAAGGUUGCUAAGGCCGAAAUUCUUCUCAUUUUCUUCCAAAAACCGAAACCAUACCCAAAGCUGAGCUUCACACCCCCUCUUUUUCGGUUUUUAUAAGUUUUGUGGGGGAGAAUAGAAGCAAUUGCGUAGAUCUAUGAGUAUAUGUAUUCCUUGUGUGAUUUUUAUGCUUAUAUGUAUGGUCUUAUGUGAUUGUGAUGUUUAUACUAGCCAAAAGAACCUAAAAACCAAGAUCUACAAUAUGAUGAAUGAAAUAAGUAUAACUUAUACCAUUUCACACUAAUCAAGUCUAGAAAAAUAACCAAGUUGGUUAAUAUGAACAUUUUUGGACUUAAAACCCAUUUUUGGGCUCAAAAUGCUAAAAAUACAAAACUAAGGGGCCCAAAACGACAAAAUAUAGAUUCUGAAGGUUGAGAUGAGUCUAAACAGUUUCUAAUAUGUAUUUUCUGAAUAUUAACACUUUUGAAGGGUUAAAAAUGUGAAAUUUAAACAUAAUGGGCCAAAAUGGGCUUUUCGGCCCAAUAAAGCCCCAAAUUGUGAGAUUUUUGAGUUGGAGGGGCUGAAACUGCACAUUUCUGUAAAACAGGGGAUUACUAGUGUACCAAAUCUAUUUCAAGGGUCAAAAAUGCUUUUCAAAUUAAAAAGGGACCAAAUAUGCAAAAAAAAUUUCCAUUUUGGGUCAAAAUUGCAAAAGUUGCGAAAAUGGAGGUUUCAAGCGAGAAAAUUUCAUUUUUGAAGGACAUAAACUGUUUAUCAAGUAAAUUUGUGCUAACAAUGUCUUUCCAAUAAGUUUUGAUACUAAAGUGUCAAGAAAAAGAGUUUAACGACUAAACCCGAAAUUCUUUUAUACACAAAGGGUUAAAAGUGUAAAUUUUAUCCGAGAAAGGGCUUAAGAAGAUAAACUCACAUUCUUAAAACAAUAGAUCCCUUAAAAUAAAAAUACGAGUACUACGUCUACCGGCGAAACGUAAUAAUAAAUACACCUUCAACACCAAAAUCGUUACCAAACGAAUUGAUUCGGUCUCGAAUCAAUAACGAAUCAANAAUAACGGAUCAAAAAUCAAUAAACAAUGAUACUUCAAUACACACGCGGAAAUUUACGAGAAGUCAAUACACCAUCUUUGGGCUCGAAAUUUUCAUAUCAUGCUUGUUGGGCCUAGCUAGCCCAAGGACAUGAUCUUUAGGCCCGAAGGGAACGCGCUUACAUGUUAUUGGGCCUUAUAUGACCUAAUUUUAUGUAAAAGGACUUUCAAUAGCCUUGUUUUGCUGUUGGGCCCCAAGGGUCCUUUGGUACUGCUAGCAAAGUUGAAAAGUCAAAUACGAGUCGGGCCAAGUGCCUUUCGCAUUCACGAUAGCCUUGCACGACUUAUGGAAAUAACGGGGGCUUCGCACCCUCUUUUCUCCUCGGUUGUGGGGCUAUGAGAAAUCAGAGUGGUUGGAUUAAGUGAGUAGUACGGACGACGCCUAAGGGAUCGUUUGUAUAGUUGUAAACUAGUCAUUUUCAUUAAUGCCUGAUUAUAACGACUCACAACCCAUAAUUAAUCCAAUGUCACCUGGAAUUAUAGAAAACAACGUUGUAUCAGAAUAAUACUAACUAAGCCACGUAAUUUGAUGUAAUGGGAAAACAUCGGGUUUUCCCUGGGAAAUUCAACACUCUUAACUAUGUGAUAUAUACAAAGUCUAACAAUUAUUCACGUUUAUAAUAAUCAACAAGCAUACUUACGGAUCUUCACACUUUUUCUCAUAUACAACACUUUUUUUUUAGAAAAUAUCAGAUUUUCUAUGGUUUUAAAAAUUAUACAAAUCAUUUCUUUUCAAACCUUACUUAUGAACUCACCAACAUUUCAUAUGUUGACGUUUUUCCAAAAUACUUGUAUUCUCAGGUAACAGGUAAAUCGAAGAAAAAUGUAUCCAGUGAUGUCAUGAUGUUUGUUUAAUUAAUAUCGAAUGGCUUAUGUUUUGGAAAUGUAAUGUUUUGAAACAAUGUACUGAAUGUAAACAAUACCGGUUGUAAUAUUUCAAUGCAUGGUGAUGAAUGAUGUUAUGAUUCAUGUAUAUUCAUUGUGAUGGUAUUCAAUUGAGUCACAAUAGCCCUCGGACGUUUCCGCCGUCUGGUUCGGGGGUGUGACAGGUUGGUAUCAGAGCUCUGUUUAUAGUGAACUAGCAUAUCUAGCCACACAUUGAUAUGCAACUAUAAACCAAAAGAGGGACUAACACAACUCUGAACAAAACAAGUAAAACAUAACAAUAANAUUAAUAUAUUAUAAGUUCUAGUAUAUUAAUAAUAAGAAUAAUAAGAUUAUUUAAUUAGUAUUGAUCAAGAAUUAAUCUAGGAUUAAUUAAGUGAUCAAAAGAAGACUAAUUAAAUAUAUGGGUUGAUUGUGUAAAUCAUCCAUACUUGUAUAGUGGGCUAAUGCUCCAUGGAUAAUCAAGUUGGGCUAAAACCCAUAGGAUGGUCCAUGGAUGCUCCAUGGUGUAUUUGUACCCAUGGAUCAUGGAAAUGAAAGGCCAUGUCAAUUAGGGUUUACAUGGUGUAACCCUAACUAUAUAAGCAUCUUAUUCUUGACCAAAUUGGUGACUAGUGUGUGAAAGAAAAGGGCUAGCCGAUUUCAUGAGUUGUAGAAUUCUCUCAAGUUAUUCUAAGUGUUUUGGUGAUUGUGAUUCCAUUUGAGGCUUCCACACUAUUGGGGCUAGGCACUCAAGCUUCAUGAAGACUUUCUACAUCAAAGAGGUAUGUAUUCUAUCUUGUUACACUCAUUGUUUUGUAUGCUAGAUUAGGAUAAUACCUUGGAAGUUCUUAUUUGCAUGUAUAAUAGAGAAAACAUAGAUCCAAGGUAUUUAGGGUUGCAUGUACACUUAGGAGUGUUAGAAUGCUCAAAACCCAACAGUGGUAUCAGAGCCUAGGCUUGUUUUCUUGUUAUACCUGCAAUAGAAGCUGAAAAAACGAAUCUGGUGCUGUCUGGCCAUCAGACUCGGCGAGUCCAUCAGGAGACUCGACGAGUCCAUGCCUAAAAAGUGAUGAAUUCGAUCCAACUCGCCGAGUUGGUUCAUGCACUCGACGAGUUGGACCCCCAGACAGCAUAUUUUCGAGUUUUUUGGGCAGAAAUGGACUAGGAACAUUACCCUAAGUUGUUUUUGAACUUAUAAACUUGUUUUUGAUGUGGUAAUGUUCAUGCUAAUCCAUUUUCAAAGAUAAUUGUCAAUAGAUUCAUGUUUUGUAUUAGUUUAAGGUUUAGACUAAUUACAUGAAAAAGUUUGAUUUGAAUUAUCUUGUUCUUAUGAGUUGCUUAGAUUAAUAGAAAAGUUGAGUGAAAUAGUUGUUUUCAAUCCAUUUUAAUCUAAGAGUUGAGUAUAAAAUGUGUUUGUGUAACUUGUCCUCAAGUUACAUGAAGAGUCACAUUAAAGACUCAUAAAAUUCAUAAAAGUUGGCAAUGGUUACAAAAUGAAGAGUCUUGUGUCAUUGAAUAAUUUUUAUGACUCCAUAACUUGUCCUCAAGUUAUGGAAGUUCAAGAGUCACUUCAUUAAAGAAAAAUAUGUAACCAUAAUUAAAUCCAUAAGUUAUAAAAUAAAGAAAAAGUUAGUUCUUUUAUUAGUUUAAAGUCUUCCAUAACUUGUCCUCAAGUUAUGGAACUUGAAGAGUUUUUGGAUUAAAACUACUUUAAACACAUAAGUUAUGGAAUUAAUUAGUUUUGAAUAGUUUCAAAACUUGCCCUCAAGUUUUGGAAUUUGAAAAGUUUUCAAGUAUGAAUACUUUAAUUCCAAGUUAGCCCUUAGAAUUUUAAAAGUUAAAAUUCAACCCUUAUACUUUAUAAUAUUAUAAGUUAAUAAUAUAUAUAUGUAUAAGAGUAAAGUCAGUCUUACCGCUAGUACGCCUCAUUCACGAAGCCGGUCUAUAAGGUGGGUAUAAGGUUGUUGCCUAUAAAAUGGCAACUUAAUGGGUGUCCACUCUCACCCACCGCUUGCUUGACUGGUGGAGGGUCGUUAGCCGAACGGGUUUGACAGGACUAGAAUUCUCCCUUCAUUAAAAGUAUUAAUGAUAAUACUAAGUAACUAAACUCUUAAUAAUACCCAAUCUUAGUUACUUAGGAAAAAUGUGAAUAAGGUGCUAACCCAUGAAAUUACACUUUACACUUUGUCUAAGUCGUUAGUGGAGCGUGUGUGGUUAACCGGCACACUAACUUGGACUUAACAAGGUAGGUAAAGGGUGACUUAAUAUUUAUCAUAGUAUCGAUGGAGCGUGUGUGGUUAACCGGCACAUCGAUUGAGGGGUAAUUUAUUAAGGGUACCAAGUGAUUUGCAUGGUUACUUCACACCUUGUUUUGUGAUCCUCGGCAUCCCAGUCACAAAACCUGAAGGGCACACUCGAGAUUGAAACAUGCCUUUGAAAAGUUCAAUGAAUCUCAAAGAUCUAGGAGUUUCAAAACCAAUUAAAACCUAAUAAUACAUUUCGUUUAUCUUGGUGGAAAUUGGUGAAUCGUCAUUCACCUACCUUCAAAUAUUUUAUAGCUUGGAUUACGGCAUACCUCUUCUAAGUUAUAAAAUAGUUUGUUGGGUCCUAGCCUUAAUAUUUCAUAUUGGGUGUCAUAUUAAGGACUUUAAAUCAACUAUCUUGAAUAUCUCCCAAAAGAUGUCUGGUUUAGACACCUAUGAUCUUCCCAAAUCUCUUGAAACAAGGUUUCCUAAUGAAGAUGAUGUCCCAUGGAUAUCAUACUUCUUCACCUCUUCAAAUUAUUCUCCCUAACCCACAAGUUCUUGAAAAGUUUAAGGUCACUCAGGCCCUAUUGGCAAGGCAAGGUCUAGGUGUGGUCACAUCUUGGAGAUGUAGUCACAUAUUGACAAGCCGGGAGAGUUGGGUGUCAAAGUCUUGAGAAAGUUGGUGGUUCAACCACUUUCUAAGUCACAUAGUGAGUUCCUUUGGGACACCUAUGAAACAGACUAUGACAAGACCCUUAAUGAUCUUAUCUAUUUGCUAAGAUCAACUUCCUAAAACUUUAUGGACAUUGACAAUGAUGACAUUGGAUAUCCAGUAAAGCAUUCUCUUCCCAAUGGAAAGGGAUCGGCCAUAGUCAACUCGGUUGACCAAAUGGUAAAGAGAAAAGCUAAGUCUGUGAUAGUCCCGUGUACCAUUAUCAAAGGGUCCAUAUGUUUAUAUUGCCAAAGGAAGGGGCAUUGGUUGCGAAGCUGCCAAAUUUACCUAAGGAUGUUAAAGUCAAUAAGUUUGACUCUACUUCAGGUAAAGUCCACUAUCUAACUCUGUUAAGUUUCUAUUCUGAGAUUCUUGAUACAUGAUGUGACUGGGUCACAUGGUGAUGUUUUAAGAAUCAAAGAAAAGUGAAGAAACUUAAAGAAAGAAUAUGCUGAAUCUGAUGGCGUAGAUGGAUUUCUAUCGCAUAGUUUGAAGAUCGGAUUCUUGAGCUACUUCUUAGGAGUUAUGAGAUAUUGCUUAGGAAUAGAUAACAACAAGUUUUCAUAUGGAUUGUAAGGAUAAGUUUUUCCGCAAAGUUUUAAAAUAAAAGAAAAUUUUUUAUUUUAUUUAUUUUAAAAUAUCCUUACAAUGGCAUUUGAGGAAAAAUUGUUGCUUAUAUGAUUCCAUUAAGAGCAAGAGUGGAAAUAUGAAAUUGAUUCUUUCAUUUGUGGUAAUGUCUAAAUUUACCAAAUAAGGAAAGAUUCUCAUCACCCAAGUUUCAAUUGGACCGGAACUUGGAAUCAUGCAAGUUGUAUAGCAUGAUGAAUGAGAACUUUCAAGUUUUGGAAAAUUAAGACUAAUUACUUGUUCACAUGGAUGUGUGAGUCAAGUAAAGGACUUAGGGAUCGAGUACACAUUCUUGUGCACUGAUUAAGUCCACCACUAAAGAUCGAUAAGAAGAAUCAAAUAAGGCAGAAGGAUAAAAGUUUCUCAAAUCUGAAAAGAUGGGAGAGUACUUUAGUAUCAGUUUUGUGAUCAUCUUAAUGAUUAAGAAACCAUAUCAAAAUUAGUUCUCUAAGGAAAUCUUAGUGCAUUCUUAUGACUAAGAAGAGGAACUUGAAUUGUUGAAAUGGUUAAAUCAAGAAGAUGAGUCAUACUUCGUUCCAAUACAAGUCUUAGAGUCAUACUCCAAGAUUGUCAUUUGAGUGACAUGUCUUAAAGAAGGUUUAAAACACUUGUCAAAUGUAAGAGUAAAAGUUUUCUACUCUUGUACAUUUGAAAUUGGUAAGUUGUGAUGUUUUGGAUAAAACAAAGACCAACUUAGGCCAAUUGGGUAAAGUGUUUUUCUUGAUUAGAAUCCGCACUAUCUCUUGGAUGUUUGACAAGGGAGUCUUAUAUGUCAAGAGGACAGUGGGAGUCUUAAAGGUCUUGAAAGUCUCAAGAAAUAAUCAAGAAUAAAACCUAAAGUUCUUCACUAGCACACGACUUGAGGUUUAUAACCUAUCGUGUUGACAUAUCUGUGCCCAUUCCAGUUAAAGUUGGCUUUGCAUAUGAGUUCUUAGAGUUCUCAGUUUGUUGCAUAACAACUUGGAAGCAAUGGCAGGCCCUUGAGCUGCCAGGUGGCAAGAAGUUAAGAUUGAGUUCAAUCCAUAUGGUUUUGGAUUUGUCAUUAUCUUUGUCUUGUGAUUAUGGUUUGACAAAUUCAUAUGGGUAGGAACUCAUACACCAUAUAAAUCUAAGUGUCAUAAGGUUUCUCUCCGAUUCAUGAAAAUGAUGGUGAGGAAACGCUUUCACUAAGUAGAUUUUACGAAGAUAUCAAUUGUGUUAUUUGCAUUUUCAAAAGUCGUUAGUGGAGCGCGUGUGGUUAACCGGCACACUAACAUGGACUUGUGAGAAAUGGCAAAUGCCUAAGCAAUUGAGACCAUGAUUACGGUAUCCCUUUUCAUGGUUCUUGAAAUUGCUUAGACACACAGGUGAGCUAUCUACGGAAAGGGUGUAUGAAUCUAAAUUUCAGACUGUCCAGCUGAUUUCUGAGUACAUGUCAAAGCUAGUGGGAGCAUAAGUGUUAUGCUAAUAAUCAUCAUGUUAGUGGGAGCAUGAUAAUUAUGAUAAGUAUUGCAAGUUAGCAAUGUUAAUUAUAGAAAACAAAAGUUUCAAUUGGGAAAAAGUUGUUUUGCUAUAAUUAAGGGAGAGGAAAUUAUGCUUCAUCUCAAAUCUAUAAGCUUAGAUCGUGAGGUUUUAAUCAUUUAGUCAAGGAUAUAUAUGAAUUUCAUGUUGGAAUGGCUCAACAUAAGGAAAUUCUGUAUAUGGGUCCAUUAUUUGCGUUCUAAAAUUCGAUUAUGAUUACGGCAUCCCUUUUCAUAAUCUGAAUUAUGAGAACUUGGCAAAUUGAAAUGGAAAUAUUAUAGCAAAAGACUGGUUUAGUCUUUAUGUAAGACAUCAUGAAUCGUGUCCCAUAUGCUUCGGAUAUAGGAUCGAUUACAUGUGCUAUAUUCAUCCGUUCUAAAAUUUUCCAAAUGCCUGGGGCAUUAAGAAGGGAAAAGGUUUAGAACUGGAUAUGACUAAAAGGAUUAAACAAUUGUCGAGGACAAUCUAAGGUUUACCAAAGAUUGGUUACUCAAGGACAAUUGGAAGUAUAGUGAUAAUUCUGGAAGGACCAUAUUGACAUAAUCUGUAAGGAGGCAACUCUUGUUCAGAAGUGAUAGUCAAAAUGGAAUCUGGAAAUGUUUCAAAGUUAGAAUUUUCAAUCUGUGUAAGAUUAAGGAAACUUAAUGCAAGAAGGAUAUUUCCAAGGAGUUGAUCUCCUUUGGAAUACUCUGUAAUGAUUGUUGCCAAGUCUUUGUGACUUUGUGCAUAAUCAUUACAAGAGGAUCAAUGCAUAUAAGUUUAGAAUCUAACAGAUUUCAGUAAAUGGCAUGAAUUUGGAAUUCUUGCAUUUGCAGUAAGGAUUUGGGAGUGUGAAAAGAGAAUCAUUGAAGUUAUGUUCAAUUGAUCUAGUUCACAAAGUAAAGAUCAUAGACAAACAUAGUAUGCAUACUUGGUGUGUGGCAUGACUAGUGUUUAAGAAAACAUAGUGUACAUGCUUGGAGCAUGGGACAACUAUUGUUUUAAAUUCAAGAAUAAAGUUGAUAGCUGAAACAGUAUACAAUGAAUAAUGUGUAAUCAUAUGGUGAUAAAUAAAAGGUGUUUUAUUUAUGUUCAAAGGGUUGAUACCAUAUUGGAUUCAAUUAUUAUUGUGUUUCAUUUUGCAUGUUUUGACUUCCCGAAUAAACUGGGUUAUUCUUCCGGAAUGACUAAGUUAUUCAAACCAUCCACAGUCGGUCAUAUGUUGGAAGUAGAUAUGAAUUAAGACUGUCAUGGGUUGGCUUGUAGAGGUCUAAGGUGUUGGACAAAGGGCUACAACACUCAUGAGUGCUCAUAAGUUCUGAGUAUUGGAUUCAACCCGCGCUCAUUGGAAUCACUUCAUGGAUUUUAUCACGAGUGAUCAUGAGACGAUAAUAUCUUAUAUUCUUCAAACCUAGAGAUAUGAGUUGUUACUAUGAGUUGAUAGUACAUUGAUUGCACGAAAACGCAUUUGGUAACUCGGUGCUAUAAAACGUGCCUUUGUGUAUGAUUCAACAAGUAGUAGAACAAGCCAUAUGAGUCGAAGUUUAUCCAUUCCUUUUACCUUCGGGAUAAAAGCGAUAUCUGUGGGCCCCUCGAUGAUUUGAUGAUGACAAAUGGAAGUGCUCGGCCGGGCCAGGACUGAUUUGAUUUGUUCAAUUAGUCAGUCGUCAUAAAUCGGAAAUCGGGAAACAACAAAUGGACAGAGAGAAUGAUUAUAAUCCAUGUCUCAGUCCAUAUGAUAUCUAGAAUGGAGGAAUAUAUGAUCCCUUAUCUAAUGGACAAGUCAUUGACAAAGGUCAGAGUUCAUCUACAAGGUCAGAGUUCGACAGAAGCUUUUGAGAGCUACGAUUGCCAGUUGGUUCCUGAAGUCAUACGCAAUAAUAGUUUUAGACUUAUCCAAGUGGGAGACUGUUGGAUUAAUGUCUAAGUCCAUAACUAUAAUUGGUAAGACUUGACCCGACCCGGCAUGGUCCAUUUGGGUUGCAUACCAUCAUGCACUUGGAUAGACUAUAAUGAGAGAAAUAAGACACUUAUGGUUAUUAAUAUAUUAUAAGUUCUAGUAUAUUAAUAAUAAGAAUAAUAAGAUUAUUUAAUUAGUAUUGAUCAAGAAUUAAUCUAGGAUUAAUUAAGUGAUCAAAAGAAGACUAAUUAAAUAUAUGGGUUGAUUGUGUAAAUCAUCCAUACUUGUAUAGUGGGCUAAUGCUCCAUGGAUAAUCAAGUUGGGCUAAAACCCAUAGGAUGGUCCAUGGAUGCUCCAUGGUGUAUUUGAACCCAUGGAUCCAAGGAAAUGGAAAGUCAUGACAAUUAGGGUUUGCCCUAAUUGUAACACUAUAUAAAGAUAUUAUUCUUGGCCAAAUCGGUGACUAGUAUUAUUCUAGAGAGGGCUAGCCGAUUUCAUGAGUUGUAAGAAUUCUCUCAAGUUAUUCUAAGUGUUUUGAUGAUUGUGAUUCCAUUUGAGGUGUCACACUUGGGGCACUAGGCACUCAAGCUUCAUGAAGCCAUUCUACACCAAAGAGGUAUGUAUUCUAUCUUGCUAUUGUCAUUGUUUUGUAUGCUAGAUUAGGAUAAUACCUUGGAAGUUCUUAUUUGCAUGUAUAAUAGAGAAAACAUAGAUCCAAGGUAUUUAGGGUUGCAUGUACACUUAGGAGUGUUAGAAUGCUCAAAACCCAACAAUUACAUGAUACAUGAGUACAUUUACCUAUGAUUACAUGAUACAUGAGUACGUCUACAUAGAUACCUUUAUCUGAAUACGCUUACAUGAAUACCCUACAUGAGUACUGUUACAUAGAUACAUUAUCCUGUAUUCACUUACCUAGAUACUUGUACCUAGAGUUACGAGGAAGAUUUAUUCGUACCUUCUGUGUAAAUUUUUCCUGCCUAUCCCUGUUCGAUGGGAUGUCUAGACGGGAUUAACCAUUCCGGAACCCAGCUGUUAGCAUCAGUGGGUGAUGAACAUCUACGGAUGUCUAAGGUUACUACUUAUAUUAGGAGUUGGCUACGGGACUAACCCUUCCUCCAACCUACUGCUGCUACAGACAACAAUUGGACAAUCUUUGGAUGUUCAUUAGGUUAUACAUUUCGCUUACUGCGAUGGCGUGUUAGUCCUGGUAACCAGGGAUAACACUUAGAUGGUUAUAUUUUUCUUAUUUACUUUAUUUUGUGAUAUAUUCAAAGAAACGAUGAGUUAGACUAAUUACUGUUUGUAGUAGUCAAAAAGAAGGAAAAACUAUCAUUUUACUUACAAAACAUUUGGGUCUUGGUAAAAGACUACAUUGUCAUAGAAAAACAUUCGGGUCUUCGUAGAAGACUACAUUGUCAUAACAAAACAUUCGGGUCUAGGUAGAAGACUACAUUUCAUACUAGUAGGAAAUAGGGGAAUUUCUAGGGUUUUUCAUACUUAUAUCAACUAUUCCAUUUAAAGAUUUACAUGACAUUCAUAACAGUAUUCCAAAACAAGACAAUAACACCUAAAUUCUUAUGAAUUCACCAGCUUUAAAGCUGAUACUCGCUUUCAAAAUUACUUGUAUUCUCAGGUCAUCAGUUAGACAGGUAUGAUGGCCAGGUUUUGAGAAGACGGAGCACAGACAAGACUCGUCUUAUUUUGAUUAUUCAUUUUAUUGUUGUACAUUAUGAAAGAACACACAUGUAUUAAAACUUUACUUUUAAUGCAAUGGAUGAUGUUGUUGCUUGUUUACUACUUUACACUGUUAUGAUACUUCACAUGACGUCCUCCACUCCGGAACGUUUCUGCCGUUCUUGGUUUUGGGGUUUGACACACGGUCGCCCACCUGGAAUUCCAACGGUUUCCUACGUUUAUCAGCGUAGCUUUUCUGUCGGACUCUGGAGGAUUUUAGUUGUUUACGGAUCUGAAUUAAUUCUUGAAUUAAUUCUAGGAUGGUACUUGAGAGGAUUUUUGGAGUUCACUCUUUUGGUAAAUGGGGAGUAAACAUAAAAUGACUAGUUUGGGGAGUAAACUCAUGCUUAUGCAUGAGUUCAUGGUUUUUGGGUGAUUUUUCGACUCAAACAUAAAAUUUUGGCCGUGAACUUCUAUGACACAAGGUGUUUGCGGUUUAGCAAUCUCAAGACCCGAGACGACACUUUCUUUCACCCGUUCAUUUAAAGAAUAAUAUUAAAGUAAUCAAACAAACUUUAAAUUUGAUAAAAAUAAGUAAUAAUGUAAUUGACCUAUAAAUCGAAGUGAUUGACUUUUAGGGUUUGACCGAAUGAAAAUUUCGAGUUGUCACAUCAUCCCCCUGUUAAAGGGAAUUUCAUCCCGAAAUUAUAAUUUAGGUAAGGAAGUAGGUAUGAAUGAUCGUGUCAAGAGGUGGGAAACUUCCUAAUCGAUUGGUUCUCGCGGUCAUAAGUGAAUUCGGGCCUUCGGUUGGUAUCCCAAUGAACCUUCACUAAAUGGCGCGGCGUUGCUUCGUCCGCUUGACCUCCCGGUUGAGGGUCACUACGGUUCUAAUACAAAGGCGAGGAUCUCGUUAAUCUCAAUCUCGUCGGGUCGGACUUACGAAAGUCCUAACAGAAAGGUACGAUUUCAAGAUCGAGACGCGAAGGGUAAAAUGUAUGUUACUGAGUUCGUGGAGUAGGUUUAGUAUGUGACAUACAUGACCGAUUUUGGUAAGAAUCUCGGAGGUCCUGACUAUCAUGGAUUUAGCUUUCCACGCUUUACGAAACGCAUUAAGCCAUUCCCGAAGUGAGUUUUCCUAAAGAACUUGGUCUAUCACUUGGAAUCUCCAAGGUUUCUUUUUAUUCUUUAACCUCCCAGUCAAGGGCCACCCCUUGUUGGGUCAAAUUCGUAAAGGUUUCUGUGAUUUUCGAGGAGUUCUGGAUGAACUAUGACAGUAGGUCUGUAAGACCUAGAAUUUGGAGAAUUCCUGUCGAUGUCCCUAAUGUCGAAAAAUUCUCAACGGUUUUGAUAAAUUGACAGAGUACUCAAGAUUUUCCACAUCACUAAUAGUGUGUCUUAGGAAAUUUUUACUCUCCAAUUCCAAAACUUGUGUUCAGAGAACUUUGCGAAAAGUAUCUCCGAGGGUAAUGUUUAUGUGGGUUCCUUCUUACUACGAGGGAAGAUAAGUAAGUCGUUACAAGGAGAACGACGAACUGAUCCAAUUAAGAAAGACGGACUGUAUUCAUUAAACUCAUGAAUGCUUCAGAGGUAUUGGUCCUAUCCGAGGGGUAUCACUACGGACUCGAAGUGUCCGCAUCGAGUUCGGAAGGUAGUCUUCCAGACAUUCUUCCCUCACACUCAAACUGGUGUUAUUCGGAUCUUAGGUCCAUUUCUGAAAGUAAUUCUUUCCUUGAGUUUUCUCAACCAAUUCAUCUAUGCGAGACAGAGGCAACAAUUUCUAAUGGAAAAAUCUGGACGGGGUCCUCGAUAGCCUAGGUACAUACGAUGCAAUCCGUCGACCUCUGGAAGAAUAAGACUGGAGUUCUCCAGGGUGAGAAGCCUAGUCCACCAAUUCUAUUUCUGUGUAGUUUGCUAAGUUGUCCGGACUGUUCUUGUAUCUUUGUAGUUGUUUAGACUGUAGGGUGAUCUGUUUACAGGAGUCAUACUGGGCUCUAAGUUUGUUCACAUGACGAUGCGAUUGCUCGUAGGCUUGGGCAGUUCUCCGUCCUGAAGCUCAUAUUAGAAUUCAUACAUGGUUUCACAAUCACAAUCUCAUGCAUAUGAGUCGUAUAUAAUUAAGAUUGAAAAGGUAGUCGAAUAAUUGAUUCCUCUUUAAGCUCACAUCCCAUCGAGGAAAUAGAAGUUAAAGUGGAAUCAUCAAUUCUAAACCUAUAGAACCUUGAUUAUAUAUCACUCUUAUGUAUACAUUCCUCAGGGAUUGAUCAACCGCAUGAAUCCUUGGAUUAAACUUGACGUACUGCACGAGUGGUACUUCGGGGUUUUCUUCGGCAAAGAGAAGAACUAUGAGGUACUCCAUGCAUGAGUACUUCGAUGUUCUGAAAUGACAGCUUCGCUAAAAAGACGUUUACUGAUAAAGAGAUGUACGUAUGAAGCUGUUUUUUUUGUGAGGACCAAAUUGAAUCGAGUCGUAUGGUAAUGUCGGAAUCAUACGGAAACUUAAAGACAUUAGAUUUGAACAUAAGACGUUUACAGACAAAACACAACCGUGCAACCAUCAACAUAGUUACAAUACUUUAGACUUACUACAAGACCAUUUCUGAGAGUGAGGUAUACUACAAAAAAAAAAGUAUACGCAACACGAGCAUGCCUAUACUGACAAGAUCUCGCAAAAAUGUAAGACUCUAGUUGCACUAGUUCUGGAUAGUUUAUAAGUCUGUUACAAUGAAACGCCUAAAUUACAUUAACGCAGUUCCGGAGCCGGUUUCCUGCAGUUGUGAUCCUGAGAAUCUUCCCAUCUGUGCCAGAGUUCUUUGCUAUAUGGCAAUCCUUCUUGAAGUGCCCUAUCUCACCGCAUUGGUGGCAUGACUGGCUAAUACUAGUUUUGGUGGCGGGAGUGUGGUGUUUAGCCAGUGUUAUGUGGACACGAGUGCCUUCCUCAUUACUCCACCUUGGAAAUUGCUUCCUAAAGCGUUCUGCAGGAGUUGCCACUUGUGGCUGGUGCAUGGCAAGUCUUUGGGAUCUUUUGCGCUCCUUUUGGGCUUGACGAUAUCGUCUCUUCUUUUCAAUCUUACGGUUUUGCAAGUCCAUGACUGUUGCCAUUUGUCGUUUUACCGGUUUGGUACUACCGUCGGAACUCUCGACUCCUUCGUCAAUCUUGCUUGUGUUGCCUGAGUUGAUGUGUGUAAGGAAAGUUGUCAUAGAAGCUGCUACUGCAGCUUGUAAUGUAACAACGUCGAUAUGGAGGAUAGGGGUUUCGUUGCUCGGCUGAUUGUUUCUGGAUGACGACAUGAUUUUGUUAACACAAAAGAUAAGGAUUUUGUGAGUGAUUCUGGUUGACCCUAGAUGUACUUCGAUUGUUCUUGUAAAGAGUAAGAGUAUGUUUUCAACAGCUUGACCUACAUCCCUAUGAUGCAGUCCUUGUACGGAUUGGAGGUAUGUUCGCGAAGGUUUGACCUACAUCCCUAUGAUGAAGUCCUAGUAAUGGGUAGAAGUAAGUUCGUAGAAUGGUCUCAAGACAUUUGUCGUUCAAGCCGAGGUAUCGUUGGUUGCUGAACAACAUGAUCCAACCAUUAAAAGAGACUUGGAAAUGUCUCCGGAGCUAAAUUGCUAUAGUCCAAUGACUUGACUAAAGCAUGUUUCUGGUAUACUCAAAUGAGAGUAUGAUGAGAGUACUUGAAUUAAGAAUGACACAGGAGUUAGCCGACUGUCAAUAUCUUUGAUAUUCAUGACAUACAAGUUCGGGAAAAUGACCUUGUAAAAAGGUCUUACAUCAUACACCGCGAACAUAGUCCUUGACACAUAAAGACCUAACCAAAAGUACUUACGAUACAAGAUAAUUUCAUAGAAAAUGCCACAUCGGGCAUAGACAGAAAAACGAUUCCUUUUAACAAGGAAAAUAAAGUAGAUCAUCCACUACUGGCGACGGUCAUCCCUCUGGUGAACUCUCAAUUCAUCCAGUUGACGUUCCACAUCAAGUAGGUGUCUUUCGUACACCCUCUGGCGUACUCGGAGCUCUAUGACUUCGGCUCGUGAUUCAGCCAGUGCUUGCAGCUGGGUUUCAUGGUUUCGCUCAGAUCUCUCACGAGCAUCUUCUAGAUGAAUGGUACAGAGGAUAUGAAUUCUUGCAUCGGCGACAACUUCGGUGAUCUGAUGUAGGGCUGUCCUGCCUUGAAUCUCAUUUCGGGCCACUCUGUGGACCAAGAUUGGCAAGAUUCUAUCUGCUGAGCCCCCAUUGCCCAGGUCAUAGAAGCUUCGGUCACCAUUAAAUGGCAUGGGCUAAUCUUGUCCUUGGCUCCAUGUUUCCAAGCAUUCCACCCACUCAGGCGUCGGUUCAUGAAAAGUCGGACGAGGGUUAGGAAUUGGAAAGGGAGCUGCCUAUGGUAGGUUCUCAACCUUGGGUUCAGAGUUAGCACCGUCCGAAAGUUCUUCAUCAUGGUGAUCAUUCAAAGGGAUAUGAUGAUCAUUAACUAGUUCUUCUCCAAACCAACCAUUAAUGACUUCGUUCGGGAGAUACUGGUUGUCGUGGGGAUGGAGUCCAGCCAUGUUAUCUACGCGAGAAUUGGGGUAAGAAAAUAAUUAUUAGACGAACUAUCUAGAUAAUUAUUUAGAAAAUCUUCAUCAGUUACAUCGCUAUUUGUGAAGUGCAUACCAGUUAUAUGUAAUCUAAAUAGGACAGGCCUUCGAAUAAGUGACCUUAACUCCAAAUUCACAUAGAAUAGGGGUAAAGUAAAAUUUUCACAGAUUCUAAGUCUAUAACAUCCUAAUUACAUAUAUCCUUAGUGUAUCCACUUAGCAACUAUCAACUUAGUAAUGAAGAUCCCGCUUUAGUUCUCAAGUAUAAAGUACUUAUAGUAACACGAAAUACUCCUAUAGUGUUUUAAGUUUAAUGUUAUGUUCUACUAUUCUCAUUGUGGUAUUGUUGGUAAUAUUUUAGACAUGUUGCAACCACACAACUACACUUAGGCAUAUGCUAGUCAACUCUCGGAUAUUAUAGUUGAUCAGGCUAUAUCUUCUUAGUUUUGACCAUACGUCUCUAAGUCCACAUGUGUUGCUAAACAAUCGUAAUUCUUUUGUACUGUCCUAGUGACACUGAUUUUAGUAUGAAUGCAGGCACGUAUACUUAAUUAAAUAUGUUACUAUAUAACAUAUAAACUCUUGGUCAGAGUAUUUUUAAUCCCUAUGUAUUUAUAGUUAGUAUAUCUUUUAUGGGUUGAUAUACUUAAUUCACUAUAAGCAAUGCUCUGAUACCAAUCUGUCACACCCCAAAACCAAGAACGGCGGAAACAUUCUGGGGCGGAGGACGUCAUGUACAAUAUUACAACAAUGAAAAUUAGUAAACAAGAAACAACAUCGUCCAUUGCAUUAAUAAUAUAAUUUUAAUACAUGUGUUCUGUCAAAUUAUAACAGACACUAAAGUAUAAAAAAAAUGAAAGAUGAGUCUUGAACGAGCUCCAUCUUUUCUAAACGUUGCAUCGGUACCUGUCUACUGUUGACCUGAGGAUACAAGUUAUUUUGAAAGCGAGUAUCAGCUUAAAAGCUGGUGAGAUCAUAAGUAUUAAUGUGUCUUAAUUUGUAUGUAGGUAUUUCAUUGACACGUAAUGAAAGACUUGAAAAUGUUUUGAAACAAAGUUCGUGUAAGUAUGAAAAUGUUUGUAAAAUAACUGUAAACGUUUGAAAAACCCUACUGUUAUAAAAGCGAGUCUUCUACCAAGACCUAACUGUUCUAAAUGUAGUGUUCUACCAAGACUUAACUGUUCUAAAUGUAGUCUUCUACCAAAACUUAACUGUGCUACUAUUAUUAUUAUGAUUAUAAGACAUUGUAUCCUUUGGUACUAGGAUACUCAAAUAUAAUUCACCUCAUCUAUUAUGUGAAUGGGUCACAAGAUAAAGGUAAUAAUAUAAAUAACCUAAGUAUUACCCUUUGGUACUAGGGUAGCUAACAAUGUUAACUAGAGACAUCCGUAGAUGUACAUUCACCUCUGUAGCUAACAGCUGGGUAUAGGAAUAGUUAGUCCCUUAAAGUAUACCUGUAAUGGUAUCAACCGUUGACAUCCGUGGAUGUGCUUUUACCUCUAUAGCUAACAGAUAUUCUAGGAAUGGUUAAUCCCGCAAGGUAUCCUUUGGUACUUGGAUAUUAAAUCCAAUCUAUCUCGCCGAUUAUUUGAUUGUAUCACAAAGUGAAGAUAAGAAUAAGGAUUAUAUAACAGAAUCUAUUCAUAUAAAACGUACUGUUAAUUCAUCAUAUGUUUUCUAUGUAAACGUACUCAUGUAAAUGUACUCAUGUAGAUGUAUCUAUGUAAAUGUACUCAUGUAGAUGUAUCUAUGUAAAUGUACUCAUGUAGAUGUAUCUAUGUAAAUGUACUCAUGUAAAUGUAAUCUUGUAGAUGUAUCUAUGUAAAUGUACUCAUGUAAAUGUAAUCAUGUAAACAUAUCUACGUAAUAAUAUAGUAAUGUACUGUGUGUACUAGCUAUGACGUGUGUUCUCUCUCUAUCUAGCAAGUAUUGACUCAUGAAUGAACUGACUCAUUGUAUGAUAUCGUGUUCUAGUAAUUGUUCUAGUAUCUUCCUAAACUACCCAUACCGUAGCUUACUAGUAACGUAAAUGGCACGUAUGAGCACGAAAGUAUACCCUUCCUACCCAAGGGUAUUGAAUGAACUGGGAAACCUUUAUGACUAUAUAUGUACACAUGAUAUAUAACUAAUAUUUAAACAACCUUCGGACGGAUACCCGAUGUCCCACCCGACCACAUCUCAAGCGUGACAAGGAAAUAGGGUGGAUAGCCUUCCUAAGUCUUUUAAACAUUUCUUAUAUAACUAUACAUAUAUAGGAAUGCAAUUGAUAAUACAAAAGCAUAAAAUAAGUUUUAUUAUCUAAGAAAUGAUCGACUUGAUGUUAAUCUAUAAAAUGGUUUGAAAGCAUACGUUUUAUAAAAUAGUUUAAGUAUAAAGAAACAUUUGUUUGAAACAUAACCGUAAAUGAUUUUGAAAUGAAACAUACAUAGUAAAAUAUACAGUUUAAUAAGGAGUUUUAAACAUAUAAAGCGUUUAUGAAAAACAUAUGAAGGAAACUCUUUUGUAAAAAGGCUAAUGAGUUGUAAAUCAUUUUAAUGCUGCUUAUUAAUCACAUGUGAUUAAUAUAAUAAGUAGCAUGAUUCCACUUGUAUCCCCACCAUAAAGAAUUUAAAAACAUUUAAAACAUUGAUUAAGGGGUAUGAACUGACCUGUUGCGAGUGGAUCGGAAGGAAGUGUCGGAUAAGUGCUUUGUGUCAAGUGAAGACUUAGAGACGAACAAAGAUCCUAAUUACAUAUGAGGACAUAUGUAUAUAAACAAUUAGUCUUUAAACAACUAAUAAACAACUAGAGACACUCUAGUACAUGACAAACACUUCUGUAUAAGUGUUAUAAGUGCUAAGGAUUGCAUCUAAGUGUUGUAGGGAAAGGCUAGUGUGUUUUGGGUUCAAGGAACACUCCUAAAAUGAGUUUACUCCCUUGCGUUUACGGUCGUAAACUCCUAACCUUUUGACCAUUUGUUGUUUUGAAGUCUUCUAAGCUAUUCCAAACAUUCCUACUUCAUGUUUAAGCCUUAGGAAGUGUUGUGUGGCAUAAAAACACUGCUAAAUGCAGUUCACGGUCUAAGGACCAUUUCUCCAUGAGUUUACUACCUUAAACUCAUAAGUUUGGUAUUUGGGGGUUUUUGAAGUCCUUAGCUCAAUCAUGGCAAUAGUCUAGGUUAGAUUUAGACAUAAGGAACAACCAUGGGACAAUUUUGGGACUUUUAUACACCUUUUAGGGUGUUUAUGGUUUUGGGAGAUCCCCAAACCGUAAACACAUAAAAAUAUAAGGUUUUGGUGCUUUUUUUGUGAUAAAAUCAUCAAGGAUGAAUCUAGACAAGUUCCUAAGGCAUUGUGAAGCAUCUAGGCACCCUAACUCACCACUUUGGCCAUAUUCGUGGUGUUUACAGUUUUGGGACCUCCCAAAACCGUGAACACCUUUAUCUUGGUGUUCUUGGGACUUUUCGUUGAUGCUAAUAUGUAAUACAAGCUUAAUAAGACUCAAGGAUGGAAGUACUUACUAUAAGGAAACUUGAAUUGAGCUAAAAGUCCAAGAACACUUAGUGUGUGUUCUUGGUGUUUUUGGAAAACUAAUCAAAACACAAAAAUGGAUGGAUUAAAGGAUGUACAAUCACUAGAUUAAGUGAUAUACCAACUUGAAAUGGCUAGAACACUUACAAGUUUGAAGAUCUUGAAUUAAUUCUAGGAUGAUACUUGAGAGGAUUUUUUGAAUUUACUCUUUUGGUAAAUGGGCAGUAAACAUAAAAUGACUAGUUUGGGGAGUAAACUCAUGCUUAUGCAUGAGUCCAUGGUUUUUGGGUGAUUUUUCAUCCCAAACAUAAAAGUUUGUCCGUGAACUUCUAAGACACGAGGUGUUUGCGGUUUAGCAAUUUCAAGACCCAAGACGACACUUUCUUUCACCCGUUCGUUUAAAGAAUAAUAUUAAAAUAAUCAAAUGAACUUUAAAUUUGCUAAAAAUAAGUAAUAAUGUAAUUGACCUAUAAAUCGAAGUGAUUGACUUUUAGGAUUUGACCGAAUGAAAAUUUCGAGUUGUCACACAUUGAUCUCGAUCUCGUCGAGUGGAAUAACAAGAGUCUCAUUGGACAGACACUUUUUCAAGUUCGAUACGUGGAAGGUAGAAUGUACGUUACUGAGUUCACGUGGUAAGUUAAGUUUGUAAGCUACAGGGCCGAUUCUUGCGAGAAUCUUAAGAGGCCUAAUGUACCUUGGAUUUAGCUUUCCAUGCUUUCCAAAGUGUAUCAAGCCCUUCCAGGGUGAGACCUUCAAUAGAGCAUGGUGUGACAACCCAAAAUUUCCAUUCUGAACAAACCAUAUCAAGCCAAUAGAAGUUAGAAUAGUUACAGAGAAAUUCCAGACUUUGGGUAUAAGUUUGAGUAUUUCAAGUUUAACACUUAAGGAGAUAUCAGGAGAGUAGUUGCACUAGGGUUUUGUGCAACACUAUUAUUCCAAUACUCUAUGAUAUUAGAGUUCAUUCCGGGAAUAAAAUAUUUUCUGCCAAAAAUGUCAGGACUAUAUAUAGAAAUUUGAGCCAUUUUCAUUCAUUAGUUACAUUUCCAACUAGAGAAAAGCCAUUUUCUCUCUCACGGAUCUUCGGGUUUUUAUCGCAAAUCGUGAGUACCUCUCUCUAGUAGUGUUAUAUAGCUUAUAAUGUGGUUAUAACAUAGAUAUCAUAGCUAAACAACUAGAUCUAGGAGUUUACUCCCCAAGGUGUUCUUGGGCGGUAAACUCCCGAAACAAUGCCUAGCCUUUUCCCUGUGAUAUAUUACUACCUUAGGCUUGUAUAUAGGUGUAAUUGGGACAAGAAAACAACAAAGAAACACCAAAGAAUAGGUGUUCACGGCCCAAGAGGAUCUUGGGCCGUGAACUCCAAAAACUUGGACCAAAGUGUGCUUUUAAUGCACCUAAAGCCUUGGACUAUCACAUAGAAUUAAUUCCACUUAAAUAAAGGGCUCUAACACAUCAAAAACCCCUCUUUUUGAGAGAUUACGUCCCUAACAAGGCUCUUGGGCCGUAAACAUGAAAGAAGGGCACCAAAUUGUGCCUAAGGCCUUCAUUUGCCUUACGUAAAAGUCUAGAACCUAUCCUACAUGUGUAUGAGACUUGAAAGCAUCAAAAAUAACCUUCCAUGUGAGUUUACGUCAGUAAACACCAAAGGAAUUGGCCUUGGGGCCGUAAACUCCUCAAAGGAGGUUAUUAGUGUCUUAAAGCCUUCCAAGAAUUUAACCACCAAGUUGGAAUACUUCUAAGGAUCAUUUAGAACUUCAAAACACAAAAGGACACCAAGCCUAGGAGUUCACGGCCGUAAACACAAGGGUUUACGAUCGUAAAGUCCUUGUGUGGCGUUUAUGGAAGAGUAAACUCAUGUAUAGGGUCCUUUGGAACCCUAAACCCAAUUGCCUUGUCCCACAACAACUUAGAUGCAAUCAUUAGGGAUUAUAACACUUAUAUAAAGUGUUUAUUAUGUUCUAGGAUGUCUUAACAUUAUCAAUUAGUAAUUUAAGACUAAUUGAGUGCAUAUAUGUGUGAUUAUAUGUUCAUUAGGAUUGUAGUGUGUGUACAAGUCCUCACUUGACACCUAACAAUCCUACACCGUUCAGUUCAUCCAAACCACCAUCUACAGGUGAGUUCAUACCCCUUAAUCAAUGUUUUAAAUGAUUUUAAAUGCUUUAAUGGGGGGGGGGUAAUACAAGUAAACAACAAAAUGUGUUCAAANNNNNNNNNNNNNNNNNNNNNNNUAUGUUAUUAAAUCACUCUUAUGUAUUUUAUAACCGUGUUUUCAUCCAGUAGAUUUCACAUACUUCAAAAUGUGAUACAUGAAAUGGUUUUCUAUCUUAAAAUACCUUGAUAACAAAAGUACUAGUUUUGAAAUGUUUAUUAAAAUGACAUCAAGUCACCCUUAAUUAUUGUUCAAAACUCUUAGAUAUCUUGCAAAACCAUUAUUUUUACCUUCUUGAGCAAAACUUCACUUAUACGCAUAUGUUCUUAUAUAUGUAUUGAUGUUAUAGUUUUCAUCCUUCAUUCAGUUUCCCACACCCUGGUGUAACGAGGGUGCAUAAAUCUACUUGAACAACCAAUUACUUUCCACUUAAUUAUCAUAGGGAUAGUUAGAAGAAACAAAACAUUAUUCCUAUUACAAGGAAUCACACAAGAGUCAGUUCAUUCAUGAGUCUAUACCAGUACAUUACAUGAUACAUGAGUACCUUUAACUAGGAUUACAUGAUACAUGAGUACGUCUACAUAGAUACCUUUAUCUGAAUACGCUUACAUGAAUACCCUACACGAGUUCUGUUACAUGGAUACAUUAUCCUGUAUUCACUUACCUGGAUACUUGUACCUAGAGUUUCGAGGAAGAUUUAUUUGUACCUUCAGUGUAAAUUUUUCCUGCCUAUACCUGUUCGAUGGGAUGUCUAGAUGGGUCUAACCAUUCCAGAACCCAGCUGUUAGCACCAGUGGGUGAUGAACAAUUACGGAUGUCUAAGGUUACUACUUAUAUUAGGAGUCGGCUACGAGAGUAACCCUUCCUCCAACCUGCUGCUACUACAGAGGACAAUUGGACAAUCUUCGGAUGUUCAUUAGGUUAUACAUUUCGCUUACUGCGAUGGCGUGUUAGUCCUGGUAACCAGGGAUAACACUACAUGGUUAUAUUUUUCCUAUUUACUUUAUUUUGUGAUAUAUUCACAUAAACGAUGAGUUAGACUAAUUACUGUUUGUAGUAGUCAAAAAAAAGGAAAAACUAUUAUUUUACUUACAAAACAUUCGGGUCAUGGUAGAAGACUACAUUGUCAUAACAAAACAUUCGGGUCUUGGUAGAAGACUACAUUGUCAUAAUAAAACAUUCGGGUCUUAGUAGAAGACUACAUUUCAUACUAGUAGGAAACAGGGGAAUUUCUAGGGUUUUUCAUACUUUUAUCAACUGUUCCAUUUAAAGAUUUACAUGACAUUCAUAACAGUAUUCCAAAACAAGACAAUAGCACCUAAAUUCUUAUGAAUUCACUAGCUUUAAAGCUGAUACUCACUUUCAAAAUUACUUGUAUUCUCAGGUCAUCAGUUAGACAGGUACAAUGGCCAGGUUUUGAGAAGACAGAGCACAGACAAGACUCGUCUUCUUUUGAUUAUUCAUUUUAUUGUUGUACAUUAUGAAAGAACACACAUGUAUUAAAACUUUACUUUUAAUGCAAUGGAUGAUGUUGUUGCUUGUUUAUUACUUUACACUGUUAUGAUACUUCACAUGACGUCCUCCACCCCGGAACAUUUCUGCCGUUCUUGGUUUUGGGGUGUGACACACGGUCGCCCACCUGGAAUUCCAACAGUUUCCUAUGUUUAUCAGCGUAGCUUUUCUGUCGGUCUCUGGAGGAUUUUAGUUGUUUACGGAUCUGAACGAUCUUCUCUGUUGUUUCCCGUAUGAUCUCUGGACCUGUGAGAGUGCUUUCAGGAACUCGUCCUUUAGCUAACUGGGUAUCACCCACCUUAGCCCAUCACAGAGGGGAUCUGCACUUUCGGUCAUAGAGGGCCUUGAAUGGAGCAGCCUUUAUGAUCGUGUGAUAACUGUUGUUGUAGGAGAAUUCGACAAGCGGUAAAUGAGUAUCCCAUGAUUUUCCGAAGUCUAUCACACAGGCUCGCAACAAAUCUUCCAAGGUUAUGAUAGUCCUCUCACUUUUCCCGUCGGGCUGUGGAUGGUAGGUUGUACUUAUAUCCAGCCUAGUUCCUAGGGAACAUUGUAACGACUGCCAAAACCUCGAAGUGAAUCUACUAUCUCUGUCCGAGAUAAUGGAUAAGGGAACACCAUGUAGUCUUACAAUCUCCCUAAUGUAAGUUCUUGUAAGUUUCUCCAUAUUGUCUGUUUCAUUGAUCGGCAAGAAGUGUGCAGACUUGGUCAGUCUAUCGACGAUGACCCAUAUCGAAUCAAGUCCACACGUCGUCUUGGGAAACUAGGUUAUGAAAUCCAUAGUUAUCCACUCCCACAUCCAUUCCGGUAUCUCCGGCUGUUGUAGUAGACCGGAGGGUUUCUGGUAUUCGACCUUGACCUUUGCGCAAGUAAGGCAUUUACUCACGAAGGUAGCAAUCUCUGCUUUCAUGUUAGGCCACCAGUAUAGCUUUUUGAGGUCCAGAUACAUCUUAUCUGAUCCCGGGUGCACAAAAUAACGAGUGUUGUGCGCCUCGUUGAUGACCAAGUCUCAGAAACCACCUAGUUUCGAAGUCCAGAUCUGGUCCAUGAAAUAAUAAGCUCCGCCACCCUUAACCUCGAAGUUCUUAUCCAUCCCUCUUAGGGAUUCACCCGCCACAUUUUCAGGCUUCAAAGCGUCAAGCUGAGCCGCCUUAAUUCGUGUGGAUAAGUGUGAAUGGAUAGUCAUAGUCAAUGAUUUGACUCGACGACCAGAAUAUUCCUUCUGACUCAGGGCGUCGGCUACUACAUUGGCUUUAACUCGGAUGAUAACGAAUUUCACAUUCGUAGUCACUGAGUAGUUCGACCCACCGUCGUUGUCUCAUGGUGAGGUCCUUCUGGUCAAAUAUGUGUUGCAAGCUCUAGUGGUCUGUAAAGAUAGUGCUUUUCAUUCCGUUCAAGUAAUAUCUCCAGAUCUUCAGAGCAAACACAACUGCUCCUAGUUCAAGAUUGUGGGUCAUGUAGUUGACCUCAUGUGUCUUUAGCUGUCUCGAGGGAUAGGCGAUGACCUUACCUCGUUGCAUUAGAACACAUCUGAGCCCUUGAUUUGAUGCAUCGCAAUAGAUAACGAAGUCUUCUAUUUCUUCGGGAAGGGAUAGUAUUGGCGCGGUGCACAAGGCUCGUUUGAGCGUUUGGAAUGCUCUUUCCUAUUUCUCUUCCCAGUCAAAGGCCACGCCCUUCUGGGUAAGUGUUGUAAGAGGUUUCGCUAUACGGGAGAAGUUCUGAAUGAACCUGCAAUAAUAGCCAGCAAGGCCUAGAAAUUGAUGAAUUUCUGUAGGUGUCUUCGGUGCUGACCAGUUCUCAAUGGCCUUGAUUUUGGAAGGGUCCACGUGUAUACCCUCUUCGCUAACCACGUGCCCUAAGAAUUUGAGUCGUCGAAUCCAAAAUUCGCAUUUCGAGAACUUCACGUAGAGCUUGUCUGAACGUAAUGUUUCGAGGACUAGUCGCAGAUGUUAACUAUGCUCCUCCUUACUACGAGAGUAGAUAAGUAUGUCAACGAUGAAGACAAUGACGAACUGAUCCAAGUAAGGACGACACACCCUAUUCAUUAAGUCCAUGAAUACUGCGGGUGCGUUUUUCAAUCGGAACGGCAUCACUACGAACUCGUAGUGCCCAUAACGAGUUCGGAAGGCUGUCUUUGGAAAAUCCUCCCCUAGCACUCGUUGUUGGUGGUAUCCGGAUCUCAAGUCGAUUUUUGAAAAGAUGCUCGCCCCUUGAAGUUGGUCAAACAAAUCGUCUAUUCAAGGCACAUGAUAACGAUUUUUGACAGUCAGCUUGUUGAGCUCCCUGUAGUCGAUGCACAUACGAAACGAUCCGUCUUUCUUCUUGACGAACAAGACUAGAGCUCCCCAGGGUGUGAAGUUUGGUCUUAUAAAGCCCUUGCUGAGCAGUUCGUUAAGCUGACUGCAUAGUUCUUUCAUCUCUGCAGGUGCUAGAUGAUAGGGCGAUUUGGCUACUAGGGUAGCCCCUGGAACUAAGUCGAUUCAGAACUCGACUUGACAUUGCGGAGGUAAUCGUGGGAGUUCUUCUGGAAAUAUGUAUGGAAAGUCCCGUACUAUUGGAAUGUUCUGAAUGUCCUUCAUUUAUUGGCUCACAUCGACCACAUGAGAAAGGAAUGCAAGACAUUCCUUCCGCAAGAAUUUUUGAGCUUGGAUGCUCGAGAUGAUACGAAGGUUCGUGCCGGGUUUGACACCAUAAACUACUAUGCUUUCGCCAAACAGCAGAUUAAGGCGAACAACCUUUUCGUAACACAUGAUAUCGACACGAUGAAGACUAAACCAAUCGAUGCCGAUAAUGACGUCGAAAAUUUUAAUUGCGACCGCCAUAAGAUCGAUAGAAAAUGAAUGGUUAUCUAAAGUUAGGGUACACCCUAUGAAUAUAAUGCUAGUGCUCUCUGUCUUUCCAUUAUCCAUUUCUACAGUGAACGGUUCAUUAAGUGCUCGUGAUUUUUGCUUAAGUAAAUGAGCAAAUUUUUGGUUCACGAAACUCUUCUCCGCUCCACUAUCAAAUAGAAUGGAUGCAUAAGAGUUAUUGAGGAGGAACGUACCAGUGACCACUAUAGGGUCGGCUACCGCUUCCUCAUGGCCUAUGGCCAGAACUCUUACCGCUCCACCGGCAAACCCUGCAUUCGGGCAGUUUCUCUUGAAGUGGCCUACCUCGCUACAUCCGUAGCAAGUAUGGCCCACUCCAGCACCGGGGGCUUGGUUGAUUGGCUUCUUCGGAGCUUUACAAAAUGGGUUGUGCGCCCCUUCCCAUUGCAGUUCAGACACUGCAUCUCCCGGCAUGCGCCGACGUGAUGGAAGUUGCACUUGUUGCACUUAGGCAAACUUCCAGCAUACUGCUUCACCGGAGCAGCAAUGGCAAAUGCUAUCGCAGCAUGUACUACCACGACUUGCUUCUUUUUGGCAGCCUUAGCCUUCUCCUUGUCAUCCCAAAACUUCCGCUUGGAGUCAGCGAUUUUUGCAGGUUCUGAGAUGGCCAGGGUAGUGGUUGCAGCUGGGGUACGAACCCCGUGAUCUAUGAGCCGCUGUGCCAAUCCCUUGGCACUAUCAAAUGUAGUGGGGUGUGAUGCUAAAACAUUUCCCUGGUAUGGGGGCACCAGUCCCCAUAUGUAUCUCUCGAUCUUCUUUCCCUCUGAAAGAAUCAUGUUGGGACAGAGGGCCACCAGUUCACAGAACAUGGCGGUGUAGGAGACUACGUUGGAUCCCUUCAUGGUCAGGUUCCAAAGCUCUUCCUCCAGCUUUUGCAUCUCGCCCCUCGGGCAGUACUCCUCAAUCAUGAGGUCUUUCAAAGUUUCCCAGCCCAUAGAAUAAGCCACUAUAAGGGAUAGUGACUUAACAUGGCCAUUCAACCAUGUUAGGGCUUUAGUUUCGAAGGUGCAAGAAGCGAACUUCACCUUGCUCUCCUCGGAACAAGACAAGAUUUCAAAAACCGAUUCGAUUUUCUCGAACCAUUGCGAGAGAGCAAUGACUCCGCCAGUCCCCUUGAAGAACAAUGGCUUGCAAUUCGUGAAGUCCUUAUAGGAGCACUCUCUCGAGCGCACAGGAGCUUCAACCUGAACAGACUGAACAGGGGUUCCUCCUCUAGUGGAACCAGAUGAAGGAUAUUGAGCAAUGGCUGUAGCCACAGCCACAGCUACGACAUCUUUUGGAGCCGUCGUGUCGAACUGAGGAGUAGGUGGUUGAGGAGGUGGUGUUUCGUUAUUGAGGUUUCUCCUCAGAUUUCUGCGAGGCGGCAUCUUUGAUCUAUAGUUUAUGAAGAUGAAACAUUGAUAAGAUGUCAAUGGAAGAAUUGAUGGGAAUGACUCAUGACUAACUCCCCAUAGCCCAAAUGAUACGAUUGAAUGGAAAUCUAGAACUAAUAAAUGAUCACAUUUGGAUAAUAAUUCCCAUAAGAUUAGGUACCCGUCAAUAUUACUGGAAUUACAGAUGUAAUAAGUUCUGGAAAAACGGCCAACAAAAAUAGGCCUUACACCAACCAAAAUGGGAAAAUGUAGACAUAAUUACAACCUAACCAAGAUCUACCAAUCCUACGAUUUACAAGAUACGGAAUUAGACCCUAGUUUUACAUAAUUAGGUUAUAUCCAAAAGAGAGAAGUUGAUGAGAAUCUAUCAGCGACGAGAACUACCAGAGUGAGUCCUUGAUCCUGACAGAAGAUGUUUUAUGUCCCUCCUACGGCUAUCAGCCCUUGCUUGCUGAGCUCGAAGUUCUCUGACUUCAGCUCGCAUUUCAGUGAGUUCCCUCUGAAGAGUUGCAUUGUGAACCAGAGCCCUUUCAUGAGCAAACUCUAGUUGGCGAAUGCGGACAGUGUUAACACUAUAACAGCCCGGAUUCCCUGGUAUUAUUCAUUUAUUUAUUUUUGGUAAAUUGUGAGGAGACUCGGCGAGUUGGAGCCUAGACUCGCCGAUUAGGAUCGCAGAUUUGGACACGGGUUCGCGUCCGGACUCGGUGAGUCUAAGAGUGGACUCAGCGAGUCCAUGCUGUUUAAUGAAACCUAAUUUCCUGGCUUUGAGCCCUAUUUAAAGGGCCUUAUAACCCUUUAUUGUGGCUACCUUCGACCUUGAGAGCACCAGAGCAUCUGUGAGUCAUUGUGAGUGAGAAAGAAGGCCAUUAUUCAUCAUCUUUGUGUGUGUUAGCAAGAAGGGAAGAGGAAGGCCANAGGCCAAACUGGAGAGUUGGGGAGCUUGGAUCUACUUCCAUUUUGGCAGAGGAAGCUAUUUGAGGUAUUAUUCAGAGCUUAUUCUUGUGUUUUUAUGUAUAUGGUCAAAUCUAGGGUUUCUCCAUGCCUUGUAUGCCUUGUAAUUUAAGUGUGAGAGGUCCCUUUGGGAAUUGGUACCUAGAUCUGGAUCUUUGUAGGUCCAGAGAGUCCCAAAUGCCCUACUUUAUGCAUAUGCUUUUGAGUUGGGGACUUAGGUUACCAUUUUAGAUGUCAUUUCUCCAAAAGAAGCCUUGUAAGGGUUGCAUGGUAGCCAAGAUUGUAUCUUUACGUGAUGAAUGUGCUUGGAAGGACUGGAUCUAUGAGUUACUGGAACGGAUCUGACGUCAGGAGUGAGUUUGAGUUCAUGCAUGCCUUAGACUCGCCGUGUCCGAAGAACAGACUCGGCGAGUAGCAUGAAGAUUGCCUUUAAUCACUCAGCGAGUGGUCUUACCGAGUUAUGCGUUGACUCAGUAAGUCAAGGAGGGUCAGAGAGGGUUGCCAGGUGGACUGAGUCAAGCUGGAACUCGCCGAGUUGUUCUUGAGACUCGGCGAGUUGAGUUGUGGUGGCCCCGCGAUUCGUGCCAGGUGGAACUCGUCGAUUUAGGGAUGUACUCGACGUGUCAAUAGAGGAUCCUAGGGAGUCAGUGAACACGUAUAGACUCGCCGAGUCGCUCUAGUGCACUCGUCGAGUCUGGUCAAAGUUGACCGUUGACCGUUGACCAGUGUUGACUUGAUAGGGGGUAGUCGACCUUAGUUGUAAAAGUGUUAAUUAGAGAUAUAUGAUGUUAUAGGAGGAUUAUAGCUCGGAGGAUCGAGCACGAGUGAUUUCCGGGAUUCGCGAGUUAUCGAGAUAUACGAGGUGAGUCUUCUCACUAUACUUUACCUUGUGUAGGUACUCAGAGUUAUGUGACAAAGUAUUUGUAUGCUAUAUGUAUGUUAUGUGUUGUACUGCAUUAUUUCGAUGUGAUUUAUGCUGUGCAUGCUUAUAGAUGUGACAACCCGAAAUUUCCAUUAUGUACAAACUAUAUCACUUCAAUAGAAGUUAUAGCAGUCACAGUUAAUUUUCAGACUUUCUGCAUAAGUUUGAGUAAUUCAGGGUUUACACUUCAGGAAAUAUCAGGAGAGUGGGUGCACUAGGGUUUUGUGCAACACUGUUAUUCCAACACUCUAUUAUAUUAGAGAUCAUUACAGGAAUAAAAAUAUUUUCUGCCAAAAAUAUCUCAGGACUAUAAAUAGAAUUCUGAACCAAAUUCAUUCAUUAUUCACAUUUCCAACUAGAGAAAAGCCAUUUUCUCUCUCACGGAUCUUCGGGUUUUUAUACCAAAACGUGAGUAACUCUUUCUAGUAGUGUUAGAAUGCUUAUUAUGUGCUUAUAACAUGAUUUAGAUGGCUAAAUCAUUAGAUCUAGGAGUUUACUCCCCAAGGUCUUCUUGGGCGGUAAACUCCUGAAACGAAGCCAAAACUGACCCUUGUGUUAUACCACUGCCCUAGACUCAUUUGUAUAUGUAUUUAGGACAAGAAAUCAUCCAUAAAUCCACCCAAGUUUGGGAGUUUACGGCCCAAGAAUAUCAUAGGCAGUAAACUCCAUUUUCAAACCUCAAAAUGGUGUUUUAAGGCCACUAAAGCUUUAAGGCUUUUAUCAAGGCUAGUUCCCAUUUAAUGUAAGGCCUUAAACACAUCAAAGAACACCAACAAAUGAGAGUUUACGGCCCAAGUGUAUCUUAGGCCGUAAACUCCAUAGAAAUGGACCAAAGGGUGUUUUUAAGACACCUAAAGCCCUAGACCUUUACAUGGAAUUGUUCCCCACUUAAUCUAAGGACCAAAGCACAUCAAAACCACAUUUCAAAGUGAGUUUACAGCCAUGACAUGGUUCAUGGGCCGUAAACUCAUUAAAGGGGCACCAAAGUGUGUCAAUGGUCUUCAUAUGCUUGGAAUAAAAGUCUAGAACCUAUACCACAAGUGCAAGAGACUUGAAAGCAUCAAAAACACACCAUACUUAGAGUUUACGGCCGUAAACUCUAANUGAUGGCCUUGGGGCCGUAAACUCCUAAAUGGAGUGUUUCUAGACCUUAAACCCCUUCAAGGAUGGAACCACCAAGUUCGAAUAAUUCUAGAUAGCAUUUGGGGCUUCAAAACACACAAAUACCCCAUGGUUGGGAGUUUACGGCCGUAAACUCAAGAGUUUACAACCAUAAACUCCAUGUGUGUUAGUAUAUCAGGAGUAAACUCAUAUAUGGGGUCCUUUGGAACCCUAAACACAAGUACCUUGUCCCACAAUAGCUUAGAUGCAAUCCUUAGGGCUUAAAACACUUAUAUAAAGUGUUUAUUAUCUCUAGGAUGUCUUAACAUAUGUUAUUUAAUUCAAGGAGUAAACAAUAUGUUAUUUAAUUCAAUCUUAUGUAUUUUAUAAUUAUGUUUUCACUCAGUAGAUUUCACAUAUUUAAAAUGGUGACACAUGAAGUGGUUUUCUAUCUUAAAAUACAUUGAUAACAAAAGUAUUAGUUUUGAAAUGUUUAUUAAAAUGACAUCAAGUCAUCUUUAAUUAUUGUUCAAAACUCCUAGAUAUCUUGCAAAACCAUUGUUUUACCUUAUUGAAUCAAACUAUACUUAUGCAUAUAUGUUCAUUUAUAUGAUAGAGAUUAUAGUUUUCAUCCUUCGUUCAGUUUUCCCACACCCUGGUGUAUCGAGGGUGCAUAAAUCUACUUGAAACAAAAACUUACUUUCCAGUUAAUUAUCAUAGGGAUAGUUUGGAGAUAUCAAACAUUAGUCCUAUUACAAGGAAUCACACAAGAGUCAGUUCAUUCAUGAGUCUUUACUAGUACAUUACCUGAUACAUGAGUACGUUUACAUAUGCUUACAUGAUACAUGAAUACCUUAUAUGAGUAUCUUUACGUAGAUACAGUUACAUGUGUAUUACUUACAUGAAUACUUGUAUCUCGAAUUGUGAGGAUGAUUAUUAGUACCUUCUGUGUAAAUCUUCCUGCAUAUCCCUAGUACCUCGGGAUAUCUAGACAGGACCCUAUCCCUAGUACCUCGGGAUACCUAGCUGGGUCUCUAUCCCUAGUACCUCGGGAUAUAUGUACGGGACUAACGAUUCUGGAACUCAUCUAUUAGCAACAGUGGGUAAUGAACAUCUACGGAUGCCUACGGUUAUUACUUAUACUAGGAGUACCUUUACAGGGACUAACCCUUCCUCCGCCCUGCUGCUGCUACAGAGGACAAUUGGACAAUCUUUGGAUGUUCAUUAGGUUAUAUAGGUCAUGUUAACCCUAGUACCUCGAGAUAACAGUUACAUAUGCUGUGUUAGUCCUAGUACCCAGUGACAACACUUACAGUAGUACCUUUUUCCUGUUUACUUUAUUUUGUGAUACUUUCACAUAAAUGAUGAGUUAGACUAAGUACUUUCGUACUAAACAAUUAAAGGAAAACUAUCAUUAUACUCACAAAACAUUCGGGUCUUGGUAGAAGACUACAUUUCAUACUUAUAGAAAAUAAGGGUUUUUCUAGGGCUUUUCAUACUUACAUCAACAUUCUCACUUAAAGGUUUACAUGGCCUUCAUAACAGAUUUUCAUAAGAAAGACAAUGACACUUAAAUACUUAUGAAUUCACCAGCUUUAAAGCUGAUACUCGCUUUUAGAAUAACUUGUAUUCUCAGGUCAGCAGUACACAGGUACGAUGGCCAGGUUUUGAGAAGACGGAGCAGACAAGUCUUGUCUUUUAUUUUGAUUGUAUAUUUUUGGUGUCUUACUACAAUGAAAGAACACACAUGUAUUAAAAUUCUACUUAUAAUGCAAUGGAUGAUGUUGUUGCUUGUUUAUUAUAUUACACUGUUGUGAUACUGUACAUGACGUCCUCCACCCCUGAACGUUUCCGCCGUUCGUGGUUUUGGGGUGUGACAGAUUGGUAUCAGAGCAUUGUUUAUAGUGAAUAUAGUAUAUCAACCCAUAAAAGAUAUACUAACUAUAAAUACAUCGGGAUUAAAACACUCUGUCUCAGAGUUAUACUUUUAAAUAAUAAAAUAUUUAACAAAGUAUACGUGCCUGCAUUCAUACUAAAAUCAGUGUCACAACGACAAGAACAAAAGUAUUACGAUUAUUGAAUAUCACAGGUAAGCCUGGGGAUAUAUGGUCAAUCUUAGGAAUGGCAUAGCCUGAUCAACUAUGCUGGUCCGAGGAGUGAUUAGAAUAUGCCCAAGAAUGGUUGUGAUAUGGCAACAAGUCUAAAAACUUACCAACACAACCAUAAAGAAAUACCAUAUGGGUAUUUGGUCUUACUGUAAUUAUCUUAGUCAGUUCGUCUAUUUAGCUAUUUCUUAUAAUCCCUUUUCUCGCGUAGAUUAAAAUGGCUGGAUUUCACCAUGGCGAUCCGUACUUCCCAAACCAAGGCAAUGCUGGUUGGCUAGAGGCUGAACCAGAAGAUGAUCACCCAAUUCCUUUGGAUGAUCACCAUGCUGAAGGUUUUUCUGAUAGUUCUGAAUCGGAGCCAAAAGUCAACAACCUACCCCCAAAUGCUCAAAACCCAAACCUGAACCCCCGCCCUGUGUUUCAAGGACCCACACCUCUGUGGGCAACUAACUUGAUUACAUGGAGUCAUGAACAGGGUCAGCCUAUUCCUUACAAUGGAGACCGAAGUUUCUACAACCUCCCUAAAGGAGGUUCUGCUGAUAGAGUCCUACCAAUCAUGGCGCAUAGAAUUUCUCGGAACUCGAUAAUAGCUCUGGCGACUAUCAAUCAAGUCUUGGAAGUUGACGCCAACUCUGGUGUUAACACUGUCCACAUUCGCCAACUAGAGUCUGCUCAUGAAAGGACUCUGGUCCGCAAUGCAAAUCUGCAGAGGGAACCUGCUGAAACCUAAGCUGAAGUUAGAGAACUUCGAGCUCAAUAAGAAAGGUCGGACAGGCGUAUAAGGGAUAUCGAACGUCUACUGUCGGGAUCGAGGACUCAUGCUAGCAGUUCUCGUCGCCGAUAGAAUCUCGUCGACUCAUCUUUUGGAUAUAACCUAGUUUAUGUAAAACUUUGGUCUAAUUUCCUAUCUGUAUAAAUCUUAGACCUGUUAGGUCUUGAUCUAGUCUUAAUUCUGUCAAAAUUUUCCAUCUUGGUUGAUGUAAGGCCUACUUCUAGGCCAUUUUUCCCGAACUUGUUACAUCUGUAAUUCCAGUAUUAUUGACAGAUAUCUAAUCUUAUGGAAAUUAUUAUCCAAAUGCCAUCUUCUUCAUUUAGUGAUACUAUUCUUUCUGUUGUUGGACUAUGGGGAUUUAGUCCAUGAGACACAUUCAUUAAUCAUUUAUUCUUAUCCAUUUCGUCAUCUUUUAAACGUACAGUUAAAGAUGCCGCCACGCAGGAAUCCAAGGCGAAACCCAAACAACGAAGCACCAAUACCACCACCUCCACCACCACCUGAACCUCUUCAACCACCAAAUCCUUUCGAUGCCAACAUGUUCCAGGCAGCUUUCACAGCAGCAGUUGCAGCUGCUGUGUCAGCAAUCAACGCUCCUGCCCCUAGUGGAUCAGGAACAGGUGCACCACCCUCGAACCACGGCGAAAGCCAUGGACACCCUCGGGAAUGCACCUACAAGGACUUCACUAACGCCAAACCCCGCAGCUUCAAUGGAACUGGGGGUGUUAUGGUGUUGAGACAAUGGAUUGAAAAGAUGGAAUCUGUCUUUGAAAUCUGUGCUUGCCAGGAGGGCAACAAGGUCAAGUUUGCAGCUUGUACCUUCUCUGACAGAGCACUAACAUGGUGGAACAGCCAUGUUAACUAUCUAACUUUGGUGGUGGCGUAUUCCAUCGGCUGGGAAAAGUUGAAAGACAUGCUGAUGAAAGAAUACUGUCCUCGAGGUGAAAUACAAAAACUCGAGCAAGAAUUCUGGGGUCUACAAAUGGUUGGAUCCGACAUCACUACCUACACAAAUAGGUUCUGUGAUUUGGCAAACUUAUGCCCUGAUAUGGUUGCUCUCCAGAGCAAAAAGAUCGAGAGAUAUAUCUGGGGACUGUCGCCCCAGAUCCAGUCAAGUGUGAUCGCUUCCAGGCCUAUUACCUUUGAUAGCGCCAAGGAACUGGCACAAUCCCUCAUCGAUCACCGGAAACCUCAGAACCCAAUAAUCCCUACACCCGUACCCCAAAAGUCCGACCCCGACAACAACAAGAAGGGGUGGAAUAAGAGGAAAAGAGGGGCUUCGCAAGGAUCCUCCAGUAAACAACAACGUGUGGCGAUCAAUGAUGCCACAGUGACUCAUGUUGUCCCUGCAAACCCCUUACCAGCAAAAACUUAUGCUGGAACUCUUCCGAAGUGCAACAAGUGCAGCUUCGACCACCACGGACCUUGCAAGGAGAUGUUCUGCUCUAACUGUAAUAGGAAGGGGCACACCACCCGUUUCUACAAGGCUCCAACGGCUCAUGCUGCCCAAGCUCCUAACGCUGGUAUGGGCCAAACUUACUACGGUUGUGGCGAAGUGGGCCACUACAAGAGGAACUGCCCUAAAGCAGGAAUGGCUGGAGGAGUAGGAAGAGUUAUGGCCCUAGGCCACAAGGAAGCAGUAGCUGAUCCUACGAUAGUUACUGGUACGUUCCUCCUUGAUAACUCAUAUGCUUGCAUACUUUUCGAUAGUGGAGCCGAGAAAAGUUUUGUAAGUCACAAAUUUGCACACCUGCUUAAACAAAAACCAUGUUCAUUAGAUAAUUCAUUCACGGUAGAAAUGGCUAACGGGAAAACAGAGAGCACAAACUGCAUAUACGUAGGUUGUCAUCAGUAUGGAUUGGUUGAGUCGUCUUUGUGUCGAUAUUAUGUGCUUCGAAAAAGCAGUUCGUCUUAACCUUCCUAACAACAAAACCUUAGUUAUCUACGGCGACAAACCUAGUACGAGCCUUCGCAUCAUUUCGUGCAUUCAAGCUCAGAAGUGCUUGCGCAAGGAGUACCAUGCAUUUCUCUCACACGUCGUCGAUACUAGUCAAGAACUGGAAGACAUACAGAAUAUCCCAAAAGUACGCGACUUUCCUGACAUAUUCCCAGAAGAACUUCUCGGUUUACCACCACAACGCCAAGUCGAAUUCAGAAUCGACUUAGUGCCAGGGGCUACCCCCGUAGCUAAAUCUCCUUAUCAUCUGGCACCGGCUGAAAUGCAGGAACUUUCCAGUCAACUUAACGAACUUCUCAAGAAGGGAUUCAUUCGACCAAGCUUCUCACCAUGGGGAGUACCGGUCUUGUUCGUCAAGAAGAACGAUGGAUCGUUUCGCAUGUGCAUCGACUAUAGAGAACUCAACAAACUUACCAUUAAAAAUCAUUAUCCCUUGCCCCGCAUUGACGAUUUGUUUGAUCAACUUCAAGGAGCCAACUACUUCUCGAAGAUAGAUCUGCGAUCCGGAUAUCACCAACUAUGAGUGUUAGAGGAGGAUGUACCCAAGAUAGCCUUCCGAACUCGUUAUGGGCACUACGAGUUUGUAGUGAUGCCAUUCGGAUUAACUAACGCGCCCGCAGUAUUCAUGGAUCUGAUGAAUAGGGUGUGUCGUCCUUACUUGGAUCAGUUCGUCAUCGUCUUCAUUGAUGACAUACUCAUCUACUCUUGAAGUAAGGAGGAGCAUGGUCAACAUCUCCGUAAAAUCUUAGAAACAUUGCGAGCGGAGAAGCUCUACGCGAAGUUCUCAAAGUGCGAAUUUUGGAUUCGGCGAGUCGAAUUUUUGGGCCAUGUGGUUAGCGAAGAAGGUAUACACGUGGACCCUUCCAAAAUUAAGGCCAUCGAGAACUGGUCAGCACCAAAGACACCUACUGAAAUUCGUCAAUUUCUAGGUCUAGCUGGCUACUAUCGCAGGUUCAUUCAGAACUUCUCCAGCAUAGCGAAACCUCUUACAACCCUGACCCAGAAAGGCGUG